UCAUUACUUUCAUCUUCUUUUCAUCCAUUACUUCACUUGAAUCUGGCACAAAUUCUGGAACCACAUUUCUUCCUUCAAGCAUACUUACCACGGACGACAUAGAUGUCCUAAAGUUUGAAGUGACGUUGGUGCAUAGGAGAGCCACAUUCAUCAUCACCAUGGCUUCCUUUUUGUUGAAAUCUAAACCUAAUCUUCUAUCAACUAGCUCCAUUAGGUCACCUUUCUCUUUCAACAAUUGUGCCUGUUGAAACCAAGUCAUUUAUAAUUGGUACAUUCAAUAUCUAAAAAUUCUUCAAAUUAUGAAAUUGGGUCAUACUUCUGUUAAAUUACUUAAGAGCAAAAUGAUACCGCUUAUUAAUAUACUCCUUGAUAUUAUGAUUCUAGAAAAGGGAAGUAACUUAAAAUGUUAUGUACAAUUAUUCUUCUGGACAAGUAAAAAUUACAUAUUCUUCUGAUUCUCUUUGUUGUCCUAAUGAAAUGUAAUACUUAAACAAACAAAUUUUAAUUGUUGGUCAAGACGAGGAAAGGGGUGAUAAAGGGGAUACAUGACUUUAUUCACUUUUAGAUUUGAAUUAUUAGAUGAAAAAUGAAAAAUAUACACAAGGCACUGAACAAAGUGUAUGUAGACAGUAGCAUGCAUGGAUAAUCAAAUUAUUAGAUGAAAAAUAUACACUUUUUGAGAACAUCAUCAAAAAUUUACCCAAUCAAGAAGAUAGAAUGCUUCCUCCUUUGUCCGAUGAAUGGUGUUUCUCCUUCCGCUGACAAUUUCCAAGGCAACAAUUCCAAAACUAUAAACACCGUCCCUGACUGUCAAAUAACCAUGCAUUGCGUAUUCAGGAGCCAUAUAUCCACUACAUGGUUGGAACAUAUCAUUGAAAUAACUUUGAUAUAAGUAUACAAUAUGACAUCAACCUUUUAUAUUAUAAAAAUAUACAAUUUAAAUUGAAUUUAGUAACUUUUUGCAGUUAUUUAUAAUCAACUAGGAGAAGUCAAGAGUUAUAGUUUUCACUAAGUUCCGGCAAUUUUAGUACUAAUGUGAGUAUUGUCCUCCUCAUGAAGCUUGGCCAAACCAAUAUCAGAUAUCUUUGGGUUGAGAUCCCUAUUGAGUAAUACAUUGGUGGCCUUGAUGUCCCUGUGAACAACCUUCAGUCUUGAUUCUUCGUGGAGGUAUGCCAAACCUCUAGCAAUACCAACCUUUAUUUGUGAAUGUAAUAAGAUUCAGACAAUGAUAUAUAAAGUCAUGUGCUAAGUUUGAAUAUGUGAAAUAUUACAUUAAUAGCAACCUGAAUUAUAUCAUAUAGGAAAAAUUACCAAAUAAAGCACGAGCAAGGCUAUUGUUUUCCAAGUAUUCAUAUAUCAGCAACAAUUGAUCUCCCUCCACACAACAACCGUGGAGUCUAACAAGAUAAGGAUAUUGCAAAGCAUAAAUCAUUCCUAUCUCAUUUAAAAACUCACGGUUCCCUUGCUUUGAUUCAGCAGAAAGUUGCUUCACUGCUAUCAAUGUCCCAUUGGGUAAACAUCCCUGCAUUUUGAGGAAUGUUAUAUUCUGAAAAAUAUAUGUAAAGAUAUAGUAAAAGCAUGACACUCAAGAUACUUGGUUAUAUUAGUCAAAAAACCUUGUACACAGGACCAAAACCUCCUUCUCCAAUCUUAUUUGAGACAUCAAAGUUGUUUGUUGCUGCUUUGAUUUGUCUCAAUGUAAAUAAACCCGUUUGCAGGUCCAAACUCUUAAGCUCUGUUAAUUGAAGUAAAAGAAAGAACAAAGAUCUCUUAGACAAAUAAAAUUAAACACGGACAUUGUGCAUAUACAAUCCUUUUCAAGUAACAUUUCAACUUUCUUUUUAUCAUGACAAAACUAGUCUCAGGUUCCAUAGCACAUUAUACUGAUAAACAUACAUACUCAAACAUGCUCGGAUACACAACAUGAACAAGUUUAUUUUAAUCACUUAUGUAACACCCCUACUAGAAAUUUCCUAGGAUAUCUAGCAUGAGUGUUAAACUUGGCAAUGGAUACAUUAAAAUUACAACAAUAAAAAUUUUCUUUGAAUAGGAUACAGAAAAUUCUCGUCUUAUACCUUGGAAAUAACACUACUGGCGUGAACUUUGUAUGGUCCAUCAACUUCUGCUUCUUCAUCACGAACCAUGAUGUCGUAUAGUAACCUGAAUAUCUGAAAUAAAUAAAAGAGAUCGGGGUGAGACAUGAUGUUUCAGUGAGUUCCACCUAUCCUAGGUUGUAGGCAAUCUCAGGGAACCUAGGAUCGCCAUCUGUUCUAAUCUCAACCAUUUCAGGUUUAUACAGUCUUUAUCCUACAUAAUUGAACGAUCAGGGAUAACUAGGGUCACUACCUAGAAUACUAUCACGAUUCUAUCAUAAUGUCAUAUUCUUAUUCAUACACAUACUUAUAAUCAUAAUCAAAAUUCUGAACUUAAAGUUCAUGUCAUUAAUUAUAUAUUUCACUAUGUGCGUAUAGAUCAUAUUAUCUUUUUGUUGUAGCGACGGUAACAUUUUCACAUUUGUUACUAUGAGCCGUACCUCAUAGGCUACAUUAUCUCUUCGUUGUAGCAAACGGAGUUUUCACAUUUUUUACUAUGAGUCGUACCUCAUAGGCUACAUUAUCUCUUCGUUGUAGCAAACAGAGUUUUCAUAUAUUUUUUUACUAUGAGCAGUACCUCAUAGGCUACAUUAUCUCUUCGUUGUAGCAAACAGAGUUUUCACAUUUUUUUACUAUGAGCCAUACCUCAUAGGCUACAUUAUCUCUUCGUUGUAGCAAACGGAUUUUUCGCAUUUUUUUUUUCUCUGAGCAUGUUACUCAUUUCCAUUUUUUCUUUCAAAUAAUUUAUAUUAGUAUAUAUAUCAAUUGUCUUGCUUAGUGUUUUAAUGCUAGAACCAAUUCACGUGAUCAAUACUUUCACAACUUUCAUAUCAUAUACAAUUUCGUUCACAUUAUCAUGACUUUGCAUAACCAUUAAAACCUCGAUUGUAUUGAGUAAAAGUAAAUAGCACCAUUUCAAUGACAUGAUUCAAACUACCCAAAGGGAGAGUUAACUAACUAAGGAACUCACCUUGAAAUACUUUUGGAAAAACUUGCAAAGCAUCUGAUCAACAAUCUGCAGCUUUUGCGAUCUCCAAAACUCCAUAAUCACUUUUCCAAAACAACUUAUGCCCUAGCUUAUAGUUUCUACCCUUUUUGAAACAUCUCAACUCACUUGUGUUCCACUCUUACUUCAUCGACCAGCAUGUACAAAAAUUCUCAUUUCAGUCUCUGCACCAGAAGUUCACUGUUUGGCCACUUAAGCACUUUUGUCAUUAAUAAAACAGCUUAUCAUUUUACCGUUACUCAUAUACCAAUAUAAUAUACCUCCCCUAAGUUGGUCAUCACAAAACUAUACCUGAAACGGCUCAAAUUCCAACUUAAGCUUUUAUCCAAACAGCUUAAUUAAAACUUAUGGCUUCUAUCAAAUUAAGUUCGACCCAACCAUUAACACAACAAUUCCAAAAUGUAUAAUAAUCCCUAAGAAUCACUUUUACAGCAAAUUAAUCAACAGCUUAGUCAUUUAAGACAAAAUUCCCAUAACAGCUUAACUGACAGUUUAUGACCUCUAAACAAUUCCAUUUCAAUUCAAAUUUUCCAGAAUCAAAUAAAACAUGUAUACACAGCUCCUAAUCCAUUUCUACACCAAUCCUAACAAUAUUAAUUCCAAAAAUUAACUAUGAAAGCUUUUGGAACAACUUAUGACUUUUAGCCUCUAGCUUUUCUUUCCAAACAGCAACAACAAUACUAAGCUACUAACAGCCCUCACCUCAAUAUUCUUGCCAAGCCAAAACCCUAGCUCUUGUGUCUUGCAUUAAUCUUGCUCAAACUUGCCUCUAAUGCUCAAAACACAACAUAAAGCUUCAAAUUUUUGUACAUGAUUACCAACACACUUUAACCUCUUAAACCCAUGCUAUGAGUCUCUUGUAUGAACUUCUUAGGAAAGGAUAAGAGAAAGAUUGAGUUGUCUAAAGGUUCCAUUUCUACAAUAAUUCAAGAAAAACACUAAAACUUGAUGAUUACAUAAAGAAGUGAUGAUUUUUGGUGAACUAGGGAAGAAGAGGAAAAGGGACGUGAGGUAGGGAGAAGAAGAGGAAGAAAAAUAUCUGAUUUGGGUGAGAGAAUGGGGUAGAAAAGUGUGGAAACUUUAUUUUGGAUAUUUUGUCUUAUAUAUACCCCACUUAGGGGAAAUGACCAUUUUACCCCUUUUUGGUCUUCUUAACUUAAUUUAUCUGAUAAAAAAAAUACCGUCAAAACUUUAAGCGGCAUAUUUCAUUCCCCGUAAUCCGUUGUAAUCAUAUAAUUCGGUCAUGAAAAGUCUUACUUGCAAUUACUAUUUUGCUCUUCACUUGAAAGUUCCGAGGAUAAAAUAACUUGUAUCGAUAUCUGACUGAAUCUCACAUGCGGGAUAUUACAACUUAGAUAAUUGAUAUGUUAGAAAAAAGAUUGAUGAUAACGGCUAAAAAAUAAAUUAAUUUGCAUGCACCUCUUUCUAAUGAGUUUUUCUUUCCAAAACAUUCUUUCCACCAAAGUAUACCGAAUAUUAAAAUAAUAACAAUCGUUGCUGCAACCAAUAAUCCAACCACAGUUCCUGCAGAUAUAUAUGCUUGCAGGUGAAGAGUCUGCUUGAUUGUUUUACAAGACAUUUAAAAUAUUAGAUCAUAACAUAGAGAUCAUAGCAUAAGAUUAGGGAUGUACAACGCAUAACCCACCGGAUUUUACUGAUAUAGCUGAUAUAAGAGGACCAUAUACUGAUCUAUUUGGGGGAUAGUGUCCUUUUUCCAGCCCAAUGUAAGCGGAUCUCCAAGGUAUUACUAGUAACAACAACAUCUUUGAACUGUUUAAUGACUUUCUUACCAACUCCUCCAGCUGCUUCUGCAAUAUUAAAGUCCUUCUGCACUUGCAUUCCCUGCAACAUUUCAAUCAGAACCUUAAUGCUUCAUGAAUAUGACGACCUAUCAUUAUUUUAAUCUUUAUCCUUCAUUGAGUUUUAGAAAUUUUAGAAACCAUGUCAAACAAUGUUGUUAUAGGAAACUAGUGAUCACUUUGCUAUUGAAAGAAAAAGAAAAUUGUACCUGAAUAUAAAUAUCAAAUACACGCCUUCCAAGACUACUAUAAGUUUGAUCGUCUGUGAACAUUAUUUCAGCAAAAUGUAAAUUUACUGUAUAGCUUCCAUUUGCAAGGCAAAACCCAUAAUAAGUCAAAGAAACGCGUUCAUUCGUGUACAAUUCAGCAUCCACCAUAGUAAGUUUAGAGAUACUUUGUGAGGAAUAAGUGUCUCCAAGUUGAUCACUAUCUAGGAAUCUACCAGUGCUGCUAAAUGCCCAAUUUUCUGUUGGACUGACAUCGGAUCGAGCUGGUCUAGAUGAGUCUGAAUCACCAUAAUAACUUUUUCCGUUGACUAUCACUUGCUUUCCACCACAAUUUAUAUAAAGGGUGUAUGAGGCUGGGUUAAGCAGAUCAUGUCAGCAACUUUGGAAAUAAUAAGGAAAUUAUAAAAACAAUAAAGAAAAAUAAUUUCCUUGAAAUUUUAUUUUCAUAAACUUGUUAUCUCUCUCUCUCUCUAGCUAUUUUUUUUUUCCCACUGCAGAUGAAGAUAAAAGGAGGGAAUCAUGGGCGGUUGCAUAACUCUAGUCAAACAAAAGUCAUGAUUUCAUUAAUGUAGUGUACCCAAAGUAAAAAAAUAAGCAUCGUUGUCUGUCGUCCCCUCUCCUGUUGUAUCUAUGUUUUUAUUUUUUUAUUUUUAUAAAUAAAGUAAAAACAUCGUGAAAUCUUAGCUAUCUAUAGGAAAGUAAGCAUGAAGAAACUCACGUUUAGGACAUUCAAAUCUCAAACAUGAAACUCCUCUCUGAGAGAAUCAUCAAAGGAAUAGAACAAGUGCAUGAUUAGUAAAAUCAGAUUCAUCACAUGCUAGUGAAAUGGAAAGGAUAUCUAAAUUCAAACUUCAAUGUCUUGUUUUAGUAUUUAUAACACCAAACUUACAUGUCAUUGUGUGCCGAUGAAAUAGAAAACAAGUUCCUGUGCCAUAUUGGAGAAGUUGGUGUCUCAGGAAGAAUCAUGUGACAAACAAAUGCAAGGAAUCUUGCACUUUUUGAUCUUGACAUAUAUGACUCCCUUGGCUAAUGCUGAAGUUAUUGUAUGAAAGAUCUCUACACCCAAGUUAUAUACUUUGAUUUAGAAUAUGAUAAUAAUUCGACAAUUAGAGACUUAACGGAAGAUUUGGUCUACUUAAUUACUACCCAUCAUUAACUAAACAUUAUGCAAGAAAACACUAUACAACUAAAAAUACAUUUUUUAAAUAACAAGAGGGGGAAAAAGGUGGGAAAAAAUGAAAAUUUCAGUUAGAAAGUAAAAAAGAAAUGAUAUGUUUCCAGUAUUUUUGGCGCAUAAAUGAAGUAAUAUUUUCAAUCCAAUGAAUCAUACAGGUAUCUGCCUAUGAAUCUGGAAUAGCUGCUUGCAGAUGCAAUCUCCAUGGGCGUUUGACUCUGCACAAAGGAGAUACAGCGUUAACAACACAAGCCUUGAAGACGAAGCUUAACAAUCUUUGGCCCCAAUUACAAAAUUGGAGUUUGAUUCCCCUUGGUAAGGGUUUCUUUGAGCUUAAUUUCAAUUCAAUUGACGAUAUGAAGCAGAUUUGGGCCAUUGGUGUUGUUAACCUAAAACCUGGAUUCAUGCGGUUCUAUCGUUGGACAAAGGAUUUCACGCCCAAAGGACAUAGCAUUCAUGCUUGCUCCAAGAUAAAUGCUGCUACCAAUGUUCAAGUUACUAAGAGUAAUAAUGUGAACCAAAGAGCUCAAUCAAAAGCUGAUUUGGCCAAUAAGAAAAGUGCUAAAUUUCCUGUCAAUACAGUUGAUGCUAUAACUGUUAAUGCACAAGUACACCCUCACAUUGCAGCAAUUGGUAAUAAGUCUGCUAAGGUAUCUUCUCAUGAUGACAUUCAGGAGGCCCCUUUUGUUUCAACUGAUGAUUUUGAGGAAGGUGAAGUAUCAGCUCCUGAAAGCAAUGAAAUUGCAGUCCUCAACACUGAACUUCAUGCUAAUGAUCAGAGCCAGAAUAUUGGAGACAUGAAUCUCACACUUCACAACUCAUUUGAAUUGCUUGAAAGUGGUUCUAAGCAUGUCAUAGGGGAGGCUAAGCCAAAUGAUGAGGAAUCUAUUCCCAUAUUACUGGAUAUGCAAAUUGAUAAAAAUCCAAUUGUGGAAGACAAUUCCCUAGGGAAGGAGAAAUUGACUCAUAACACAAACUUAGAGAAUCCUGGUAAUUUGGUAAAAAGGAACUCUAAAAUUGCUGCUUUGAGUCCAAAUCCUCUUUUGGGCCCUGUUAAUGGGAGGCAAUCUUUCCCCAUUACAAGUCCCUCUUCCCUAGCUCAGAGUAGUAACAUUGGGAGGAUGUCAUUCCCCAAUGCUAUUGCUGUGUCAUUUGGUAAGGCUAGGGAUCCUUUUUAUGAUACUACCAUCACAUUGCAGCCCAUCACUACCCCUAUCACCACUCAUGAUGAGAUAUUAGGACAAGAUAAGAAAAAGGUGCUUUUCACUGUUGGCCCUAAAAAUCUUUCUGCUGCAUGUUUGAAAGAUGGUAUGAAUUUGAGUAAGUUUUGGGAGGAUGAGGACAACGAUGCUACUGAUAGCAUAUUGGACCCUGAAACUGACUUCGAAGCUCAUAACAACUCUCAUUCCCCAGAUGCAUCUAAACAUCUAGUUUCACCACAUGAAACUGUGAAGAAGAGUAAAAGAGGCAGACAUCAGAAGCAAUACACUAGUAGUGAGCUCAUACAAACGCGUUCCAAAAAGGGUGUGAUCAAAAGCAAUCCCAAAUAUAUGUGAUUGUCUUGUUGAAAGUUCCAUAUCUUGCAGUUGUUGUUCUUAUUUGGGUUCAUCUUCUGCUAUUCUAGAUGGUUGCUGAAUCUAUCUUAGUGGGAUAGAUUGUAUUCUUUUAAUACUUGAUUUUUUUUUUUUAUACUACUAGUUUUGCUGCUGGACUGGUUUGCUUUCUUUGAUUAGUUGUUCCUGUUAGUGUCAUAGCUAGUCUUACGUGGUAGCCAUUGUUGGAUGUGGUCUUUGUACCUCCAUUGGAAGGGGUGUUCUUUUUGUUGUCUUAGUUUGGAUUGUUUGAUUGUAUGUGGUUCAGGCAGCUCCUGAGUUUUAUAUUCCAUUUUAAGCUUGAUCAAAAAAAAAAAAAAAAGUAGUAUUAGAAAGAUAGCUCACACGUCUGAAUUCUUUCCCCAAGCAGGAGGAACUUGUCCAGUGAGAAGGUUUCCGGUCAAGAAUCUAUCAUAAAAGAAUAUCAAGGUAUUAGUAUGCAAAGCUUCAUGUUUAGGUUGAGUUUAAUCCUCAGGAACCAAGUAGGAUUAUUUAACUAUCCAGCAUAAUGAAAGUUCAAACUAAACCUAUAGGCGUAAAGAAGCCAACAAAUGUGAUUAAAAGUAUACCACCAAAAGAAACUGGGCUAAGUAACUACGAUGAAUUUCAUACAUGAAAUUUGCAUUGCUCAUGUCAGCAUAGUUACUCGGGAUUGUUCCUCUUAAUCUGUUAAAGCUGAGGUCUCUGAAAAAGAUAUCAUAUCACAUUGAGAUUGAGUUAAAAUUCUAGGGGGAAAAUUUGUCAUAGAAAAAAAUUCCUGUAAUUUGGAAAACUCGACACAAAAAUGCCAAUGGUUGUAAAACAAGUUAAACUUAACAAAAGAAACUUUGAUGGUUAGCUAUAGUAAAAAAAAAUGUAGCAAGUAUGAAUAUUACAUGUGUUUUAAUGUUUUAAUAGUCACAAGAUUUUCAGGUAGUGUACCGUUGAUUGCAAUUUCUCAAAAUCCAGCGAAACAAUAAGAUAGAUAACGAUAUAAAUUAGUGUCUUUCUUGCUUUAUUUAUUUUUUCAUUUGCGUACAUACUGUUUUUGGUUCUUUAACUCUUUUAUUGGGUUAAAUUGGAUCUCUAAUUCUAUAAUUUGAACCAAGUUGCUCUUUUCAAUUGCAAGAUCUAAAAACCCUUUUUCUGACGUAAAGAAAAAUCCAUAUCUUUUUGGUGUAAAUGGAGGGUUUGUGGUUCUUAAAAAAAUACAUUAACUUGCACCUCAUAAAAAGUGAAUUACAUCAACUUGCUUAUGGGAUUGGAAUUUAGAACUUAGUAAGUUGGAAUUAGGAAUCACAUUAACUUGUAUUUAUAGCAAAUACACUAUAAAUACAGUAUUGAGAAGUCUGAUUAGACACACAAAAAUUACAUAAAUUUACAAGGUAUGUGUAGUGGUUAGUUCCUAGAGGAGGUGGGUAUUGUCAUGGUAGGCGUUUUUCAUCAUGCUCUUCCUCUCACAUGACCUUAACGUCUUUCCAGUUAUGCUAUAACCAGCUGGCCCGUUUCCGGUGCGACUCAACACUGUACGCCACCACCUGCCUACGUGUAAUACAAGAGCGAGCAAGACAGACAUUUCCCCGCCGCCUAACGCAUCAAAACUUUCUUUGUGUGGGAGACCCAAGAGCCUUCCACCCCCAGCCACCAGUGCCAGUCAUUUGGUAAAUUUUUAGCAACUAUCCUCUUUUAGCCACAUCUUCCAUUUUCAGUUUUACUAUUGUACCGAUCCCUUGCAAAACAUUGGUAGGUUCUGCCAAUUAUAUAUGCAGGAGGAAGAGAACGUAGAAAUAGUCGAACCAGUUCUACCAUUGGUAGGUUCUGCCAAUUAACCGUUAUGCCAAUUAACCGUUGCUCUUUUCCAUUGCAAGAUCUAAAACCCCUUUUUCUGGCACUGGGUUCUACCAUUGGUAGGUUCUGCCAAUUAACCGUUAUGCCAUAUUAAGGCGCAAAACCGAACCAAAACCAAUCAGUUGCAGCCAAAGUAGUGAAUGUUGCUGAUAUAUUGAGGCUUUUGACACUGAAUAAUUUUUCCUUUCGACUACAGAGUAUAAUGAAAACCUCAAGCUCAAGGCACAAAAUCAAACCCCCAAACCAGUUGCUUGUGUUGUUCAUACCAGUAAUCUUGUUUCCUUAGUGUCACAUUCCACUUCACUUGGACCUUAAAGCCUUUACUCUGGCGCCUUUGAUCAUAUAUUUGGUAACAAAUUGCUUUUCUCUCAUCUCACUUACAUGUAAACGCUCCCUAGUAUGACUUUGGCAAAUGGAGCACAAACCAAAUGUGAAGGCAUUAGUCGAACUAGUCUCUUACCCACACUUAAUUUGAACUCAGUACUUUACGAUUGGAAUUUCCAUUUAGUUUAAUAUCCAUAAGUAAACUCGCUCAUAUCCUACAUGACUUUAUUACCUUUGCACUUCAAAUGCUAAAUGAGAUGACUGCUUUGCACUCCAAUGGUACUUAUGGUACUUGGGAUUUGGCAGCGUUACCUGAUGGAAAAACCACAAUAGGUUGUCGUCGGGUCAAUACAGUUAAUGUAGGGCCUGAUGGAAAUAUUGACGCGUAAAAUCACGCCUUACGGAAAAAGGACACACACAGAUCUUUGGCCUUGAAUAUGGGGGCACUUUUUCUCCAGUUGCCAAGAUUGCAUCCAUUCACUUAUUUCUUGCCAUAUAGUCGAUAUUAAUCGAUGGCCUCUCCAUCAAUUAGACAUCAUAAAUUCCCUUUCAUGGUGAGUUAUAAGAGGAGGUGUGUAUAUGGCACAACCGUCUGGUUUUACUGUUAGUGGUUCCUCUCAGUUGGUCUCUCGGCUGCGUUUAUAUCUAUAUGGCUUUACACAAUCUCCAUGUGCUUGGUUUGGGAAAUUUAGCACUAUGUUCCAAGUGUAUGGCAUGAGCAGAUGUGAAACUGAUUAUUCUAUCUUCUGGAAUUCUUCAGCGACCACCUGCCUCUAUUUUCUUGUCUAUGUCAAUGACAUCAUUAUCAAAGGGUAAUGAUCAGGUUGCCCUUCAUCGGCUCAAACAAGAUUUAUAUCUUCACUUUCAAACUAAAUAUUUGGGGCCCCUAAAUAUUUACAGUGACAAGGCAUGAUGAUAUUACAUUUGUUGUCAGCUUAGUAAGCCAAUUUAUGUCAGCUUAGAAUAGGCCAAUUUCUGUCAGCUUAGAAAAUUUCUAAACUUCGGUGUUACGCUGUAGAAAUUUUCUGAAUCCUCCAUGUGAAGUCAUUAGAAUGUUUUGAUUCACAUUCUUAGGUAUAUCAUGAGUACAUUAGGUAGAGGAUUACUUUAUGAAGGCAGGGGUAACACUGAAGUUGUUGGCCACUUUGAUGCUGAUUGGACAGGUUCACCAUCAGAAUAGACGAUGUAACUUCUGGAUAUUCUGUCCUUGAUAGAGGUAGAUUGAUAUCAUCGCGGAGCAAGAAGCAAUACAUAGUUUCAACUUCGAGUGCAGAAUCAGAGUAUCUUGCUAUGGUAGCAACAUCUUGUGAACUUACAUGGCUAAGACAAUUACUCUAGGCUCUUGCAACUAAAGUUAAGAGAUAUCAAGGCAAUGAAACUAAUUUCUGAUAACCUGGCUGCACUUCAUAUUGCUUCCAAUCCAGUACUCCAUGAGAGAAGGAAGAACGUAGACAUUGACUGCCACUUUUUAAGAGACAAGGUUUGUUCACGAGAAAUUGUAAUUGAUUUUAUUUGUUCAACUAGCCGAUAUAUUUACUAAGUCUCUUAGAGGAUCUCGGGUUGAACCUAUUUGUAACAAGCUUGGUGCAUAUGAUAUGUAUGCUCCAUCUUGAGGGGGAGUGAUAAAAUUAAUCACAUAAAAAAUAUGUUCUUAUAAUUAGUUUCAAAGAAUUAGAAACUUGAUGAAUUGGAAUUAGGAAUUACAUUAACUUGUAUUUAAGCCUUUUAUUUACUGUUUCUUAAAGAGGUAGAGAAAUCAACUCGCAGUCUAUUUAACAAUGUCAUGUUGUUAAGUUGUGGCAAAGGUGCAUACUCAGAUCCAUUCAAAUCACUGAUUCUCCUGAAUAUCACAUUUGAUUUAAAGCUAAGUAAACAUAAUUAAAAUGAAAGUUAAACUCCAACCCUUGUUUCAUCAGUGUAUAAAAUAUCAUACAUACAAGUCAAUUAAGUUUCUCAAAAGUGAAAUUUCAGAAGGAAUCGGCCCAAUUAAUCCACUCCCUUGAAUGGUUCUGUCAAAAGUAAAGUUAUCAUUGGUAAUUAUUUUUACAAAGUCAAGCAAUUUGAAAAACAAUUAAAUUUGAAGAAAGAUGAACAUGAAAAAUUAAGGAGUACAUACAGUGUGUUGAUAUUUGUCCAGUUUUGAAUAAACUUAGGUAUCUUUCCAAGCAACUGGUUGUCUGAAAUUCGGCUGCAUUGAGAGAGGACAUGGAAAUUUGAAGCAUCAUAAAAUUUAUUUUUUUAUUUUCUAAUCAGUAAAUAUCAAAUUUGAUGCUUACAAAUCUCGCAAUGUAGUGACCUUGGACAAUGUUGUAGGUAGUUCUCUAGUAAAAUUGUUAGAGGACAUUUUCCUAUAUAUAAUUGAAAAACAAAACAGUAAAUUAUGAUUCUAAGCCAUAGAAAUCAAGCUGGUCUUUAAACACAGGGCUUUAAUAUAUAUGAAGGGAGAACAUCAAUCGGGGGAGUACUUACAGUGUUCGAUAAAGUUAAGUUCUACUAAAAUUAUUUGUAUUGAACAUAUACAUGUUUAUGGACUAGUGAAAUUAAUUAAUUUUUUCGCUAAGUAGGCUAAUGAGUAACUCACAAAUGCAUCAGAGUAGAUAUAUUUGCAAUCUCCGCUGGUACUGAACCCCGUUAAUCGAUUUCCAGAGAGAGUACUAUGAUGAUUAAGAAACAUUUUCUUAUUAGUUUAUUAUUCUAUGUAAUUACAACAGUUAAUUAAGGCAACGUCUUAUAAAGAGUGAAAAUAAGAAUAUUCAAUGAUUAAAAACCAAAAAGCAAAACAUAGCCUUAUUAUAUGAGUGCCGGAUUUGAAAUGAUGCAAUAUAUACAAGACUAUCAAGACAAGAUUAUAAGAAUAACGUGGGUACAUAAAUUUUGACACACAUUCAAAAUCAUCUAAUCAAAAUAAGAAGGACACUCUAACAGUAGAUUGUCGCAUUGAUGAUGAGAGAUAGAUUUAAAGGAGGAAACUGACAUAGAAAGACUCAGAAAAAGCAUAUAUAUAUAUAUAGAUGUAGAUGUAGACCCCAUUCCCAGCUAGGAAUUUUGAGAAACACACAAACGACAUAACAAAUUAUUGUUCAAAAACAGUAAACGUGUUAAUUAUGGUUUCUUUUACUCUGAAAUGUCUUCCGUAUAAUUAAUGUUCUUCGUAGAAGUUGUAUCUGUAUUCAAUAUGUGUAUUUUUUUUAGUGUAAACUCUAUUAAUUACGGCUAUUCAUCUCUUGAGUUUUUUGGGACAUGAAUGCGCAGCAAAUUUUUCUUCAGAGUUUUAAGUUGUGGUAUGUUUAAAGUUGGAUUCAAAUCAGACUUUACUUAAGAUAAGAGAGAUAUGUGUCGUCUUUAUAUAAACGCUCCUGCCUAUACUCAAUAUGUAUAUAUUUACAUUCCAAAUUUCAGCAAUUUUUUUUUUUGGCUAAAAUAUGGUUCUAGUCCCUGCAAAUAUGCAUCGUUUUAGUUUUAGUCCCUGUAAAAUAAAAAUUUCGUUUUUGGUCCCUGGAGGGACUAUUUUCAAAAACAAAAAAAUUUGCUGGGACCUUUUUAAAAAACAAAAUAUUGUGCAGGGACCAAAAACUACAAAAUGGGCCAGUCAUCAUGUGCCACGUAUGCAAAUCAUCACAAAAAUGGGGUCAGCGACUAUUUUAAAAAACAAAAAAUUUUGCAGGGACCAAAAACAAAAAUUUUAUUUUACAGGGACUAAAACUAAAACGAGGCAUAUUUGCAAGGACUAAAACUAUAUUUUAGCCUUUUUUUGGUCUAUUAAAGAGUUUUUUUCUUUUUUCUUUUUUCUGAAUCAAAAGUAAAGGAAGACAUCAGGAGAUAGCUUGACAUCCCAACUAUGUUGGAAGCCCAAGGCUACCCCAUCCUCUACCACCUUGCUUAAAAAAGAGAAAAUUGUACAAGAGGGGACCAAACCAAAACCCUCGGAAAAAACAUACUAUAAAAAUCCAAAAUACAAAGCAAGAGACCUAAGGAAAACGGAAACUAGGAAGUCCGUAUUUGACUCUAAAAGUUAUCUCUAAUAAAUGUGCGGAGAGAGUCUCACCAAAUAACAUCAGCCAAGUCGUAACCAUAAUUUGCUAACUUAUCCGCACAACAAUUUCCUUCGCGAAAAAUAUGAGAUGAAAUGAUGGAAAUGCCUCCAUGCGUACAAUUAUGUGUUGUUUUUGGAUUUCCAAAAUGUUGUAAUUGAAUUUCCAAAUUCUAUUAUCUACCGAAGUUGUUACUAGGUUGAGUCACGACCAGGUCGCUCUCUUUAAGACGUUUCAUGCCACUGCCCAAAAUUGUGCAAGGCAGACUAUCAACCACGCCACCUCCAGGAUAAAACAAGCCCAACUACAACUGUGCGAUUAACUACUGCACUUAGAAAACCGUUCGAGAAUUACACCCUCAAAUAUGGUACUAAGACCACUAUUUAAUACUGAAACCACUUUAAUAUGGUAUUGUUACCACUCUAUUAUGGUGUUGCCACCGUUCUACAACCACUCAAAUAUGGUGUUGUCACCAUUCUAACUUUAAUUUCUCCAAAACAUCAAUAUGGCACUACGACCACUCAAAUAUGGUGAUACCACCAUUUCUCCUCAAAUAGAAACAUAUUGAAAUACUUUUUAUAUAUACCAUUAAGAUCAUUCUUAAUUCUGACGGGACAUUGUUAUUCCAAAUAGGGACUAUGAUCUUAAAAGUACUUUUUAUUUCGAAGGGACAUAUAUUAUCGAAGGAACUAUGUUUUAAGACCAUUCUUAAUUCCGAAGGGACAUUGAACCGAAACAGGGACUAUGGUCUUAAGAACACUCUUAAUUUCGAAGGGACAAAAAAAGGAGAUGAAGAGAAGAAAGACUUGUCAACACAAGUCAAAAAAGGGAGAAGAGAGAAAGAGUUCCCGACAACUCAAUGAAACUCUUUGGUGUGAUUUUUGAACUAGGUGAGCUCUCCUUUUAUAGGGAGAGUUUGUAACUAAUUUGGAGAAACUUAAGAAUUAAGUAAACUUAAAAAUUAAGCAACCCAUAUUAGCUCAAGUAACAAACUAAUCGGAUAAGUUCAAAAAGAAACAAAUGUUGGAACAAAAUGUGUUUAACAUCAAACCUUAAGAGUUUUGAUGAUAACAAAGUAUUAAAAAUUGUCAAUUGGAUAUGCUAAUAUUUGUUCAAGCGUACAUGACUAUAGACAAAACUUGAUAUCUUAAAAAGGUCCUGGAAGAACAAUAAAGAGCAAAGGCAUCAACAAAAAGAGAAGCUUAACGCGCCUGAAGAAAACUGCUCCUGAAGUUAAAGCGCUCCUGAUGACGUCAUCAUAAGCAAGUUCAUCAUAAGCUAGUUCAUCAGAAGCAAGUUUAUCAGAAGCUGUGAAUCACCAGAAGCUGCAGUUCAUCAGGAGAUGCAACUUAAAGUUUCAAAAAGUUGUUCAACGGAUUCAAACUCGCCUAAAGAUUGCAGAAGACUAGAGAAGUGAAGCAACGACUAUUUUGGAGGGUUUUGAAAGCAUUGGAUGCUUGUUCUUCAAAGAGCGUUGACAAAGUAUGUUCGAACGAAGUGUACAACCACUACCUCCACUACUCUGUUUUGUCUCUGCUACAAGACAAGAAAAACAGCUAUGCCUGCAACAAUGUUCCUACACAUUGGGAACACGUUUGAAAUUGAUCCUUCAUAGGACAAUAACCAAAUCAGGCAAAGGAUCAUUAGUGAUUGAUCAAAAGUUUCAAACGACUCUAUUUUGAAUGUGCUGGCAAUUCAACGUCUCUCACACACUUCUAUUUAAAGGAGUUAAGACUCAGAGUUCCGAGAACAAUACCAAGAAUUAAAAGCGCCAAAACUCUGCUGAAAUUGUUUUGCAUUCAAGGUUCACUUAGAAUUUCUUAUCAAAGCUCAUAUCUUAGAAAUUCUAGACUCUUUAGAGUCUGUAUCUGAAUUGUAUUGUGAACACCACUGAUUGUAUAUCAAGUGUUCAAACUCAAACAUAAUCUUUGUAAUUCUGUUUUAAUUGAGAAGUCUCUUGCAGUUGUGCUUGAGCAAUAGAAGUCUCUUGAUUGUGUUUAGGAGCAUAGGAAGUCUCUUGCAGUUGUGAUUGAGCAUUUGAAGUCUCGUACUAAGUUUAGUAUUGAACAAUUGUAAUCAGAUAUUAUUUUUAGUGAACUUCUCUUGGAAGUGCAAGGGGGAUAGGACUGACUUCCCGUUUGUGGAAGGAACCUGUAUAAAUUGCUUUGUGUCUUUCUUUCUUCUCUCUCUCUCUCUCUCUGUUUUUAUCCGCUGCAAUUAGUUCUGAACAUCACUUAUGAAGUAAAACUUUAUCUGCUUCUAAACAGUGUUUUCAGAUAGGAGAAAAAGAAGAAAAAACAAACACAAUUCAACCCCCCUUCUUGUGUUUUUCUCACCUUCAACAAACCCACAAGAUUAGAUGAAACAAACUAAUGAAAGAAAGAUAAGAAAUUCAGUUGGAUUCUCAAUCUUAUCACAACAAACAUAACCUAAAAUUGUGAGAAGUGAUAUCCAUGAAUAAAGAAUAAUAAUAAUAAUAAUUUUCAUCAUUAUCAUGUAUUUAAAAUUAAAUACCACUAUUUAAACACUACUAACGUGUUUGUUCUAUUUUACGUGGGACCUCCACACUCUAUUUUUUCAAUUCACACAACACUAGAUCAAAGUUUAAUAACUUGGUGUUUAAUCUUCCAACCUUCCAAUUUCUUUCCAUCUUCACACCAAUGUUCCAACACAUGUUUCGAAGAGAAAAUGGAACUAACGAAGGGUUCCCGAAAGCCUGCAAAGCACUCCAGGAGUCCCCUCCACCCUAAGAUGCCGCCAAUGGUACUUAAUGGAAAAUUCCAGAGCCAACACAAAUCCAAAUAACUAGACCUCUCAAAAACCGAAUUUUGACCCAAGUUGCAAGAAAAACAACCCAAAAAAAUCCUCGAUAUUCAUGAAAAAUACUACCACAAGCAGCUAAGCCAUACAACUGAACCAACCUUAUUUACCUUAACAAAAGGCAAAGUGGGAGCUUUUCAAACGACAAUAAUAAUAGCAGCAACAAUGGUAUGAAUAGAGUAAACAACAGCCGAAAAUAUCAUGAAUUUGAGAACAGCAUGUAAGACCCGUAAUUUUGAUGCGACUAAAUUUAGGGCUUUGUAUUUGUUUUGAUGUUUUUUUUUUUGUUAAUAAAUGAGUUUAUGAAAUGUCUUGACGUUGUCGGAAUUCCAAAAUUUGUUUUCUAUUGAUUUUGAGAAAACAUGUUGGAAGUAUUUGUUGUUUAAAUUUUGAAUGGACCAAGAGCGUCAUGAAAAUUUAAACAAGAGUUUUACACAUUGCUCGUAUGGGUAGAUGAUCUCAUUAUAUUUCUCCAAAUUUUUGAAACAAGAUUUUUGUUGGAAAGUUAUUUUGAUUUCAAAACCAUUACUUGAAAUGAGAAACUCGUUGAGCAAUUUAACUACGUGAGAUCUAGAAUUGAUUCACAUAUGCCGUUUGCUACUCUGUGUGACUGAUUUUGACAUUCAGAAUGUUUGUUAGGCAUGAAAAUGUAAUAUCCCGCAUGUGAGAUUAAGUCACAUAUCGAUACAAGUUAUUUUAUCCUUGGAACUUUCAUGAUCGAAUUAUAUGAUUACAACGGAUUACGGAGAAUGAAAUAUGCCGCUUAAAGUUUUUACAGUAUUUUUUUUAUCAGAUAAAUUAAGUUAAGAAGACCUAGAAGGGGUAAAAUGGUCAUUUCCCAUAAGUGGGGUAUAUAUAAGACAAAAUAUCCAAAAAAGUUUCCACACUUUUCUACCACAUUCUCUCACCCAAAAUCAGAUUUUUCUUCCUCCUUCUCCUAACAUCACGCUAUCUCCCUCUUUCUCAUGCUAUCCACCAAAAAUCAGCACUUCACCAUGGAAUCAUCAUGCUUAUGUGUUUUGCUUGAGUUAUGGAAGAAGUAGAACCUCUAAACAACUUGUUCUCUCAUUCUUCCUCUCCUAAGAAGUUCAUUCAAGUGAUCCUAGCAUGGUUUGAAGAAGUUAGAGCUAAGAUGGUGAUCAUGUAAAGAGAAUUGAAGUUUGUGUUGUAUUUUGAGCUAGAGGCAAGCUUGAGCAAGAUUAAGGCAAGACACCAAGAGCUAGGGUUUGGCUUGGCAAGAAGAUAGAGGCAGGGGCUGAAUGUUGAAACUGAAUGUAAGUAUAAGUGAUUAAUAGCUUAAAUUGAGGUAAAAGUGAUUAUUUUGAGAAGAAAUUUAAGUUAUGUUGAUUCAUUAGAAGUAUAAGCUGUUAUUUCAUUUGGCAUUCUGUGAUGACUCUGUUUUUGGGCUGUUAGUAGUAUCAAUUUUGCUGUUGUUGCUGUUCGGAAUGAAAAGCUAGCAGUUAAAAGUCAUAAGUUGUUCCAAAAGCUAUCAGAAUUGAUUAUUGAGUUAAAACAAGUUAGAAUUUCAAUAUAAGUGUCUUAGGAGAUGUGUAAACAUGUUUGCUUUGAUUCUGGAAAAUUUGAAUUGAAAUGGAAUUGUUUAAAGGUCAUAAGCUGUCAGUUAAGCUGUUGAUUAAGUUGCUGUAACAGUGGUUCAUAGAGAUGAUUAUACAUGUUGGAACUGUUUUGUUGAAGGUUGGGUCGAAAUUGAUAUGACAAAAGUCAUAAGUUGCUAUUUAAUUCGUUUGGAUAAUAGCUUAAAUUAGAAUUUAAGUUGUUUCAGGUAUUAUCUUGUGAAGACCAGCUUAGGAGAGAUAUGUUGAAUUGGUAUAUGAGUAAUGGAAAUAUUAUAAGCUGUUCUAGUAAUGGUAAUUAAGCUGUUUUAGAAGUACUGAAUUCUGGUGCAGGGACUGAAAUGGGAAUUUUUCUAUAUGCUGAUCGAUGAAAUAGGAGUAUGUCACAAGUGGCACUACUACACAUAUGUGUUUUAGUAACAUUCAUCUUGCAACACUUGUUUAAUAGUUACUAAUAUAGAGAUUUUUCUUAACAUUUUUUAGUAAGUGUUACAUUAGUGUCACUCUUUUUCGGUGGUGUUUAUAUCAAAACACAUUCAUAUUCUACUGAAACAAAAAAAACAAAAAACAUUUCAACUCUUUUAACACACACUCUCUCUCUCUCUCUCUCGUCUUCGAGCUAACCAGAAGCAAACGUUCGAACAUGGCCUCAAAGCUAAAUGUGCGAUUACAAUCACAGGUGAAUUCACAAUUCUUCAAUUCCAAAUUCAAUUUCAUCUUCGAUUUCGAAAUUGAUUUUCAACUUCGAUUUCGUAUUUCAUUCAUCUUCGAUUUUAUUUGAAUUCGUCUUUGAUUCUGUAUACGAAUUCAUCUUUCUGUAUUCAAUUUCAUCUUCCAUUUCGUAUUUGAUUUCAUCUUCGAUUAUGUAUUUGUUUUCAUUUUUGGUUUUGCAUCUCCUUGCUUAUUUUUCUUUCACUUUGGUUUUACACGUUGAAAAGAUGGUUGAGAUGAAGUGUGAGUUUUGUAUUGUGUUGGUUUUUGUUUUGAUUUUGCUUUUGUUGUGCUUCAUGGUAGAAUGCUUGUUUUGUGUUUGAUAAAAUGCUGCAACCAAACUUUAUGACACAAUGCCUGUUUUCUGUUUGAUAAAAUGCUUCAAUCAACCUUUAUGGUACAGUGCUUAAUGUUUGUCUGAUAAAAUGCUUGAACCAAAUUUUAUUUACUUCUCUAAUCUCAGAAAUGUGAUUCUCCUGCAUCUAUGCUCUUAAAAAUGUUUUUCGAUUCUGCAAAAUGAACAGAAUUGUUUGUUCGGAAUGCGAUUAUGUGUAAAUUUUAGAUUCGAUCUUAACUAAAAUGUUGGAAACUUAGGAUUGAAGAAAUGGAUAUUAGUUCCUCAAUGAUACAGAAGUCGGUCUGUUUCCCGUCACGCACAACCAAACUAUUGCUGCUUUAGCUCCGACAGUGGGUGGCUAUCAGAGCUAUUAGAAACCUGUAAUAGUGCAAAAGUUCACUUGGCAAUGUAUGUGUUUAGUUGUUUGGCUGAUUUAUGUGUGUAUAAGCUUCCCAUUGCAUAGGAGAAAUGUAACUUUUCAUGUUUGAAGCAAUAUAAAAACUACAAGGAAUCUCCACCUUCAGAUUCAUAGGACAAAAGUUCACUACUGGAUGUAGUUGUUGAAAUUUUAUUAACUUUGAUCUUUAUGGUUCCUCACCACUAGAAAUUUUGGUGUUAGGUUAUCAUGACGAUCUGUAUCAUACCUAACGAACACGUGGACCUGUAGCAAAUAUAUGAGGCAUAUUUGGGUUAUUCUGUAUUACAAAAUGCCAAAAGCUUGUACAAAACUUGCAAAAAGAAAUAAAGAAAAGUCAAAUAUCUUCCCAUUAUUACUAUUUUUUUUUUUUUGUCUAAAUCUGUUAUGUCUUUUGUAGGUUCCAUGUUAAUAAGAUGUCUUCAGCCCAUGUUUAUGCCGGGCUGCUCAUAGGUCACUAUCGAUGACAUGAGUGAAGGUUUAUUGGAAGAUUGUGCUAAACUUGUCAAAGAAAAUUCAAUUCAAGGUAAAAUAUCGCGAUUAAUUAUUCCUAGAUUAGGAUACUGCUACUAGAGUUAUUGUCGAGGGUCUGUGGCCGGAUCAGACAAUUGUUUUCUAUCAGCAAUGUAACAUGUGGUUUACAUUUCAAGAGAUUUAUUUGAUCAAUUGUUGUUUCUCAGGAGUACAAAGGAAACAAAUAAAUAUAAAAUAAUUUGAGAGAGGUGCUAUAUGUCACGAAUACACUUCCUCACUAAUUUCACAAACUCUCUAUUUUUCUAUUUUUUAUUUUUAUACCUGAAAAUAUUUUGAAAAAUAGAACUGCUAGGGCGUAGUAUGUAUCGAUCAUCACGCAACCUCAGCUGCAUAUAUUAAAGAUCCUUAGUGUGUGUCUGCCAAAAAAUAUCACAGUUCAUGAAAACUUGGAUCCAAUGCUAUGAAGUUUGAAUUGUGAAUUUAUAAUGUUUUUUGUUUUCAGAUUUACUUCUAUGAGAAAUUACUUUUGUUUUCUUUCUGAACGUAAUUGUAUAUAUGCUCAUCAUGUUAUGUGAGCAUGACAAAUGAAUAAGUUAUUAAGCUAUUGAUUGUGGAGUGCAUUGCAUUGCUUGUCGUCGCUUUGCCAUGACUUAUAUUACUUGAACAAAUUCUUAUGUCCUACUUAUUGAAGUUCUCUUUGGUAGCAUGGGUUUUGCAUAUUUGUUGCAUACUUUUCUUUGUAGUUACUUUUCUGAAUAUAUAAAAUCAAUAAAAUCUCUGUAAAACAUCUUUAUUUAUCUGUUUUAGUAUUUUUCCCUCAUCUUUAUUUAUAUGCUGCAUUGUGGUUGUAAUGCAUUUGUUUUUCUUCUGAUAUACUGGUUUUGAUUUUGAAGUCCACCGAUGUUUGAACUAUGUUGAAUACAUUGAUUAAGAGUAUAUUUAGAACUAAUUAAGGAAGAAGUUAUAUGAGCGAUUGAGCCUUAUUCUUACAACCCUGUAGGUUUAGUUUCCCUUAGAAAGUUAUUUAUUUUGGUAGGUUAGCUGAAUGGAGGAGUUAAUACUACAAUUAACCGUGUACAAAUAUUUUGUGGUUUAUUUUAGGUUUAGUUUUUAAUAAGAUAUUAAGCAGCGGACGGAAUAAUUUCCUCAUGAGUAUAUCUUCCCCACAGAGCAAAGCAUAGCACAUCAAGAGAAAAAAAGGCAGGGACAAGGUAAAAUUUGCUAGGUCAAUAACAAAAUGGUUUNCUCAAUGAAACUCUUUGGUGUGAUUUUUGAACUAGGUGAGCUCUCCUUUUAUAGGGAGAGUUUGUAACUAAUUUGGAGAAACUUAAGAAUUAAGUAAACUUAAAAAUUAAGCAACCCAUAUUAGCUCAAGUAACAAACUAAUCGGAUAAGUUCAAAAAGAAACAAAUGUUGGAACAAAAUGUGUUUAACAUCAAACCUUAAGAGUUUUGAUGAUAACAAAGUAUUAAAAAUUGUCAAUUGGAUAUGCUAAUAUUUGUUCAAGCGUACAUGACUAUAGACAAAACUUGAUAUCUUAAAAAGGUCCUGGAAGAACAAUAAAGAGCAAAGGCAUCAACAAAAAGAGAAGCUUAACGCGCCUGAAGAAAACUGCUCCUGAAGUUAAAGCGCUCCUGAUGACGUCAUCAUAAGCAAGUUCAUCAUAAGCUAGUUCAUCAGAAGCAAGUUUAUCAGAAGCUGUGAAUCACCAGAAGCUGCAGUUCAUCAGGAGAUGCAACUUAAAGUUUCAAAAAGUUGUUCAACGGAUUCAAACUCGCCUAAAGAUUGCAGAAGACUAGAGAAGUGAAGCAACGACUAUUUUGGAGGGUUUUGAAAGCAUUGGAUGCUUGUUCUUCAAAGAGCGUUGACAAAGUAUGUUCGAACGAAGUGUACAACCACUACCUCCACUACUCUGUUUUGUCUCUGCUACAAGACAAGAAAAACAGCUAUGCCUGCAACAAUGUUCCUACACAUUGGGAACACGUUUGAAAUUGAUCCUUCAUAGGACAAUAACCAAAUCAGGCAAAGGAUCAUUAGUGAUUGAUCAAAAGUUUCAAACGACUCUAUUUUGAAUGUGCUGGCAAUUCAACGUCUCUCACACACUUCUAUUUAAAGGAGUUAAGACUCAGAGUUCCGAGAACAAUACCAAGAAUUAAAAGCGCCAAAACUCUGCUGAAAUUGUUUUGCAUUCAAGGUUCACUUAGAAUUUCUUAUCAAAGCUCAUAUCUUAGAAAUUCUAGACUCUUUAGAGUCUGUAUCUGAAUUGUAUUGUGAACACCACUGAUUGUAUAUCAAGUGUUCAAACUCAAACAUAAUCUUUGUAAUUCUGUUUUAAUUGAGAAGUCUCUUGCAGUUGUGCUUGAGCAAUAGAAGUCUCUUGAUUGUGUUUAGGAGCAUAGGAAGUCUCUUGCAGUUGUGAUUGAGCAUUUGAAGUCUCGUACUAAGUUUAGUAUUGAACAAUUGUAAUCAGAUAUUAUUUUUAGUGAACUUCUCUUGGAAGUGCAAGGGGGAUAGGACUGACUUCCCGUUUGUGGAAGGAACCUGUAUAAAUUGCUUUGUGUCUUUCUUUCUUCUCUCUCUCUCUCUCUCUGUUUUUAUCCGCUGCAAUUAGUUCUGAACAUCACUUAUGAAGUAAAACUUUAUCUGCUUCUAAACAGUGUUUUCAGAUAGGAGAAAAAGAAGAAAAAACAAACACAAUUCAACCCCCCUUCUUGUGUUUUUCUCACCUUCAACAAACCCACAAGAUUAGAUGAAACAAACUAAUGAAAGAAAGAUAAGAAAUUCAGUUGGAUUCUCAAUCUUAUCACAACAAACAUAACCUAAAAUUGUGAGAAGUGAUAUCCAUGAAUAAAGAAUAAUAAUAAUAAUAAUUUUCAUCAUUAUCAUGUAUUUAAAAUUAAAUACCACUAUUUAAACACUACUAACGUGUUUGUUCUAUUUUACGUGGGACCUCCACACUCUAUUUUUUCAAUUCACACAACACUAGAUCAAAGUUUAAUAACUUGGUGUUUAAUCUUCCAACCUUCCAAUUUCUUUCCAUCUUCACACCAAUGUUCCAACACAUGUUUCGAAGAGAAAAUGGAACUAACGAAGGGUUCCCGAAAGCCUGCAAAGCACUCCAGGAGUCCCCUCCACCCUAAGAUGCCGCCAAUGGUACUUAAUGGAAAAUUCCAGAGCCAACACAAAUCCAAAUAACUAGACCUCUCAAAAACCGAAUUUUGACCCAAGUUGCAAGAAAAACAACCCAAAAAAAUCCUCGAUAUUCAUGAAAAAUACUACCACAAGCAGCUAAGCCAUACAACUGAACCAACCUUAUUUACCUUAACAAAAGGCAAAGUGGGAGCUUUUCAAACGACAAUAAUAAUAGCAGCAACAAUGGUAUGAAUAGAGUAAACAACAGCCGAAAAUAUCAUGAAUUUGAGAACAGCAUGUAAGACCCGUAAUUUUGAUGCGACUAAAUUUAGGGCUUUGUAUUUGUUUUGAUGUUUUUUUUUUUGUUAAUAAAUGAGUUUAUGAAAUGUCUUGACGUUGUCGGAAUUCCAAAAUUUGUUUUCUAUUGAUUUUGAGAAAACAUGUUGGAAGUAUUUGUUGUUUAAAUUUUGAAUGGACCAAGAGCGUCAUGAAAAUUUAAACAAGAGUUUUACACAUUGCUCGUAUGGGUAGAUGAUCUCAUUAUAUUUCUCCAAAUUUUUGAAACAAGAUUUUUGUUGGAAAGUUAUUUUGAUUUCAAAACCAUUACUUGAAAUGAGAAACUCGUUGAGCAAUUUAACUACGUGAGAUCUAGAAUUGAUUCACAUAUGCCGUUUGCUACUCUGUGUGACUGAUUUUGACAUUCAGAAUGUUUGUUAGGCAUGAAAAUGUAAUAUCCCGCAUGUGAGAUUAAGUCACAUAUCGAUACAAGUUAUUUUAUCCUUGGAACUUUCAUGAUCGAAUUAUAUGAUUACAACGGAUUACGGAGAAUGAAAUAUGCCGCUUAAAGUUUUUACAGUAUUUUUUUUAUCAGAUAAAUUAAGUUAAGAAGACCUAGAAGGGGUAAAAUGGUCAUUUCCCAUAAGUGGGGUAUAUAUAAGACAAAAUAUCCAAAAAAGUUUCCACACUUUUCUACCACAUUCUCUCACCCAAAAUCAGAUUUUUCUUCCUCCUUCUCCUAACAUCACGCUAUCUCCCUCUUUCUCAUGCUAUCCACCAAAAAUCAGCACUUCACCAUGGAAUCAUCAUGCUUAUGUGUUUUGCUUGAGUUAUGGAAGAAGUAGAACCUCUAAACAACUUGUUCUCUCAUUCUUCCUCUCCUAAGAAGUUCAUUCAAGUGAUCCUAGCAUGGUUUGAAGAAGUUAGAGCUAAGAUGGUGAUCAUGUAAAGAGAAUUGAAGUUUGUGUUGUAUUUUGAGCUAGAGGCAAGCUUGAGCAAGAUUAAGGCAAGACACCAAGAGCUAGGGUUUGGCUUGGCAAGAAGAUAGAGGCAGGGGCUGAAUGUUGAAACUGAAUGUAAGUAUAAGUGAUUAAUAGCUUAAAUUGAGGUAAAAGUGAUUAUUUUGAGAAGAAAUUUAAGUUAUGUUGAUUCAUUAGAAGUAUAAGCUGUUAUUUCAUUUGGCAUUCUGUGAUGACUCUGUUUUUGGGCUGUUAGUAGUAUCAAUUUUGCUGUUGUUGCUGUUCGGAAUGAAAAGCUAGCAGUUAAAAGUCAUAAGUUGUUCCAAAAGCUAUCAGAAUUGAUUAUUGAGUUAAAACAAGUUAGAAUUUCAAUAUAAGUGUCUUAGGAGAUGUGUAAACAUGUUUGCUUUGAUUCUGGAAAAUUUGAAUUGAAAUGGAAUUGUUUAAAGGUCAUAAGCUGUCAGUUAAGCUGUUGAUUAAGUUGCUGUAACAGUGGUUCAUAGAGAUGAUUAUACAUGUUGGAACUGUUUUGUUGAAGGUUGGGUCGAAAUUGAUAUGACAAAAGUCAUAAGUUGCUAUUUAAUUCGUUUGGAUAAUAGCUUAAAUUAGAAUUUAAGUUGUUUCAGGUAUUAUCUUGUGAAGACCAGCUUAGGAGAGAUAUGUUGAAUUGGUAUAUGAGUAAUGGAAAUAUUAUAAGCUGUUCUAGUAAUGGUAAUUAAGCUGUUUUAGAAGUACUGAAUUCUGGUGCAGGGACUGAAAUGGGAAUUUUUCUAUAUGCUGAUCGAUGAAAUAGGAGUAUGUCACAAGUGGCACUACUACACAUAUGUGUUUUAGUAACAUUCAUCUUGCAACACUUGUUUAAUAGUUACUAAUAUAGAGAUUUUUCUUAACAUUUUUUAGUAAGUGUUACAUUAGUGUCACUCUUUUUCGGUGGUGUUUAUAUCAAAACACAUUCAUAUUCUACUGAAACAAAAAAAACAAAAAACAUUUCAACUCUUUUAACACACACACACACUCUCUCUCUCUCUCUCUCUCGUCUUCGAGCUAACCAGAAGCAAACGUUCGAACAUGGCCGCAAAGCUAAAUGUGCGAUUACAAUCACAGGUGAAUUCACAAUUCUUCAAUUCCGAAUUCAAUUUCAUCUUCGAUUUCGAAAUUGAUUUUCAACUUCGAUUUCGUAUUUCAUUCAUCUUCGAUUUUAUUUGAUUUCGUCUUUGAUUCUGUAUACGAAUUCAUCUUUCUGUAUUCAAUUUCAUCUUCCAUUUCGUAUUUGAUUUCAUCUUCGAUUAUGUAUUUGUUUUCAUUUUUGGUUUCGCAUCUCCUUGCUUAUUUUUCUUUCACUUUGGUUUUACACGUUGAAAAGAUGGUUGAGAUGAAGUGUGAGUUUUGUAUUGUGUUGGUUUUUGUUUUGAUUUUGCUUUUGUUGUGCUUCAUGGUAGAAUGCUUGUUUUGUGUUUGAUAAAAUGCUGCAACCAAACUUUAUGACACAAUGCCUGUUUUCUGUUUGAUAAAAUGCUUCAAUCAACCUUUUAUGGUACAGUGCUUAAUGUUUGUCUGAUAAAAUGCUUGAACCAAAUUUUAUUUACUUCUCUAAUCUCAGAAAUGUGAUUCUCCUGCAUCUAUGCUCUUAAAAAUGUUUUUCGAUUCUGCAAAAUGAACAGAAUUGUUUGUUCGGAAUGCGAUUAUGUGUAAAUUUUAGAUUCGAUCUUAACUAAAAUGUUGGAAACUUAGGAUUGAAGAAAUGGAUAUUAGUUCCUCAAUGAUACAGAAGUCGGUCUGUUUCCCGUCACGCACAACCAAACUAUUGCUGCUUUAGCUCCGACUGUGGGUGGCUAUCAGAGCUAUUAGAAACCUGUAAUAGUGCAAAAGUUCACUUGGCAAUGUAUGUGUUUAGUUGUUUGGCUGAUUUAUGUGUGUAUAAGCUUCCCAUUGCAUAGGAGAAAUGUAACUUUUCAUGUUUGAAGCAAUAUAAAAACUACAAGGAAUCUCCACCUUCAGAUUCAUAGGACAAAAGUUCACUACUGGAUGUAGUUGUUGAAAUUUUAUUAACUUUGAUCUUUAUGGUUCCUCACCACUAGAAAUUUUGGUGUUAGGUUAUCAUGACGAUCUGUAUCAUACCUAACGAACACGUGGACCUGUAGCAAAUAUAUGAGGCAUAUUUGGGUUAUUCUGUAUUACAAACUGCCAAAAGCUUGUACAAAACUUGCAAAAAGAAAUAAAGAAAAGUCAAAUAUCUUCCCAUUAUUACUAUUUUUUUUUUUUUGUCUAAAUCUGUUAUGUCUUUUGUAGGUUCCAUGUUAAUAAGAUGUCUUCAGCCCAUGUUUAUGCCGGGCUGCUCAUAGGUCACUAUCGAUGACAUGAGUGAAGGUUUAUUGGAAGAUUGUGCUCAACUUGUCAAAGAAAAUUCAAUUCAAGGUAAAAUAUCGCGAUUAAUUAUUCCUAGUUUAGGAUACUGCUACUAGAGUUAUUGUCGAGGGUCUGUGGCCGGAUCAGACAAUUGUUUUCUAUCAGCAAUGUAACAUGUGGUUUACAUUUCAAGAGAUUUAUUUGAUCAAUUGUUGUUUCUCAGGAGUACAAAGGAAACAAAUAAAUAUAAAAUAAUUUGAGAGAGGUGCUAUAUGUCACGAAUACACUUCCUCACUAAUUUCACAAACUCUCUAUUUUUCUAUUUUUUAUUUUUAUACCUGAAAAUAUUUUGAAAAAUAGAACUGCUAGGGCGUAGUAUGUAUCGAUCAUCACGCAACCUCAGCUGCAUAUAUUAAAGAUCCUUAGUGUGUGUCUGCCAAAAAAUAUCACAGUUCAUGAAAACUUGGAUCCAAUGCUAUGAAGUUUGAAUUGUGAAUUUAUAAUGUUUUUUGUUUUCAGAUUUACUUCUAUGAGAAAUUACUUUUGUUUUCUUUCUGAACGUAAUUGUAUAUAUGCUCAUCAUGUUAUGUGUGCAUGACAAAUGAAUAAGUUAUUAAGCUAUUGAUUGUGGAGUGCAUUGCAUUGCUUGUCGUCGCUUUGCCAUGACUUAUAUUACUUGAACAAAUUCUUAUGUCCUACUUAUUGAAGUUCUCUUUGGUAGCAUGGGUUUUGCAUAUUUGUUGCAUACUUUUCUUUGUAGUUACUUUUCUGAAUAUAUAAAAUCAAUAAAAUCUCUGUAAAACAUCUUUAUUUAUCUGUUUUAGUAUUUUUCCCUCAUCUUUAUUUAUAUGCUGCAUUGUGGUUGUAAUGCAUUUGUUUUUCUUCUGAUAUACUGGUUUUGAUUUUGAAGUCCACCGAUGUUUGAACUAUGUUGAAUACAUUGAUUAAGAGUAUAUUUAGAACUAAUUAAGGAAGAAGUUAUAUGAGCGAUUGAGCCUUAUUCUUACAACCCUGUAGGUUUAGUUUCCCUUAGAAAGUUAUUUAUUUUGGUAGGUUAGCUGAAUGGAGGAGUUAAUACUACAGUUAACCGUGUACAAAUAUUUUGUGGUUUAUUUUAGGUUUAGUUUUUAAUAAGAUAUUAAGCAGCGGACGGAAUAAUUUCCUCAUGAGUAUAUCUUCCCCACAGAGCAAAGCAUAGCACAUCAAGAGAAAAAAAGGCAGGGACAAGGUAAAAUUUGCUAGGUCAAUAACAAAAUGGUUUAAAGGGGACCUUAAUGGAGCACAAGAAUCUGCAAUUGGCUGCCGUUGUUAAGCUUUCAUUUGGUUAUCUCUACUUUGACAAUGAUUUCUUCACGUUUCCUUGUCUUUUUUGUGGAUUUAGUUUUCUCGUUCCUUUCUGACUCCCUGUGUUCGUAACUGGGGUUUUUUGUUGUGAAAUUUUCUCAGCUCUUGUUACAGCGGAUAUGAUAUACUGUGAUUUUAAAGCUGCAGCUAACCUUAAUAUUACGAACAUGCGGACCCUUGGAUUUUACGGUUCAUUUUCUUGCCUUGAAUGCACUUGUUCUGGAAAAUAGGUGUCCUUUGGCAUUGUAAUGUGUCAUUGUUUAGAAUUAUUAAACUAAAUAUUAGGAGAGCUUCAACAAUAUUUAUGAUUCUGUCCAUCUUUCUUGGAUAAUCAAGAGAUACACUUCUGUUUUGCAGAGGGCUAAAGUUUGGAUAUCUACAACGUUUGGAGAUACACUACUAUUCCAGAUAUAUCAAAGUCGUUCUUUACUUUUUAAGUUUUGGGCUUUGUUCUUAAGACAUGCUGCAGAUUGGAUUGUGAAUCUAUUUUUCUGUUCAAUAUUUCUGUUGAUUAUGAGUAUUUCUUGAUUUCUUAUUUUCCUGUUUGGUGCUCCAAGAGAGGUGAUCUAUUAAUGUUGAGUAUUCCUUCUGGUUAGUUUUGUCUCUUGAUGUUGUGGUUUGAUUUAGUUCUUGCUGGUGUUGGUCUUAGUGGUUGCUGUACUUAUUUUAAUGAUCAUCACAAAUAAUGAAUUGUUAGUUAAUUGUCAUUCUGAUUCUUGUCUGCAAAAUAUAGAAUUCUUCAGUUGUGGUUCAUUAUUAUUUUUAUUUUUAGGAUUUGUUUGCAAAACACUAGAAUUGAAAUGUUAUUCAUGUGACACCUUAAGAUUAGUGGCCACUAGCUAGGAAGACAUCCUCCACUGAAUCUAUGACCACCACCAAGUUCCUUUAAAUGUGUUCCCAGUGCCAUAUAUACUUUUCUAUCACUGUACAAUGUCUGAAUUGAUAUAUGAUUUGAAUUAUAAGAUUAUCUUUAUUAGAGUUAAACUCCUAUCAUGCUCAGAUACAAAAGCUCGUGUAAUUUGGGGAGUUUAUUCUAAUUGAGUUCUGUCUCCACUAUCUAUGAAGUCUUUGUUGAAUGCAAAUUCCCCUGCUGUUGUUUAUUCUAAUUGAAUUGUGAAUUCUAAGAUUAUCUCUAUUAGCUAUUACACUUGUUUUUCUUAGUAUCCUUGUUGAGCAUGGUAUCAACGUUGCAGCUUGGUAAGUUUCAAUUGAUAAUGAUUUUCAUGACAGAAUCGUCCUUUGCAUUAAAAUUGUUGCACAAUACUGGUGAUGAGAUAAGGAAGGGAUGUCUGCAAUCUUGCUGGCAGAACAUUAUGAAGAUGAUUGCGGAUAAGCAACGGCACAAGACAAAGGAGAUUAAAGAGAAGGCUUGCAUUUCUCAUGUGCAGCUUGAUGACCUUAAAGAGAAGGGGGGAAAUUGUGUUGGAUGAAAACUUAAUUGUAAUCAUUUUUGUAUGUAAUUCAAAUUGUGUUGUAUAGUUCAAAUUGUGUUGCAUAGUUUAUUUUCGUCAUGCAAGAAUAAGAACAGAGAAGAGGGGAACUUUUAUAGAGUAUGUAAUUCAAACUAGUUAUUAAAACUUGUAUCUAAUAUUGGUUAAUUCAAAUAUGAAUGAAGUCUAAACUUGUAUCUAAAAUUAGUUUAGACAAUUUUGCGACAUUUUUUACAACUCCUCAAAAAUUAUAAAUGUAACACUUUUUUAUUGUUACAAGUGAUACAAAAAGUGUUACAAUAAGGUACCAUUUGCAACACUUUUUGAUUGUUACAGAUAGUACUAUAAAAUGUAACUAAAACACUUUAGUAACACGGGCUUUAUCUAACAAUUGUUCAAGUGUUGCUAAAUUUAAUUAGUAACAUUUUUCUUGAUUUAGUUACAAUUUUCAAGUGUUACUAAUUGCCAUUAGAAGUACUGAAUUCUGGUGCAGGGACUGAAAUGGGAAUUUUUCUAUAUGCUGAUCGAUGAAAUAGGAGCAUGUCACAAGUGGGUUGGGCUGUUUCGGAAAAGGCAAGACCUACAAGUCAAGGCAUAAGCUAUUUUGGAAAAGCGAUUAUAGAGUUUUGGAGAUAGCAGAAGUUGGAGAUUUUGGAUAAGUUGCUUUGCAAUUUUUGGGAGUAAUUCAAGGUGAGUUCCUUAGUUAGUUAACUCUCCCUUUGGGUAGUUUGAAUCAUGUCAUUGAAAUGGUGCUAUUUCCUUUUACUCAAUACAAUUGAGGUUUUAAUGGUUAUGCAAAUUCAUGAUAAUGUGAAUGAAAUUGUAUAUGAUAUGAAUGUUAUGAAAGUAUUUGUAACACCCCGUUUUCCCAACGUAAAAAUUUCAUUUAAUUAAUCAGAGUAUUCACAUUAACGGAAUAUCACGUUCUUUUCUUAAAAUCAUAAACUGAAUAAAUAACUAUUUAUCCUUUAAAAUUCAAUAACAAAAUCUUUAAUAUUUCGCAGCGGAGUUUAUUCAGUAACUAAAAACAGUAUUUGGCACUAAGGCCUCUUUAUAAAUGUUCUCAUAAAAAUCAAAUCUAAAAACAUAGUCAUAAAUCUUCAGAAUCAAUACGUAAGGAAUAGAAAAGUAAUAACAAAGUCCUCAUCCCGUUACGUAUCAGAGCACCUAAGACACUUGAGCCACCACUCCUACUAAUCAUUAAUACCUGCAAGUUACUCAUACGAAGAGCAACAUUUCCAAGCAGAAGGGGUGAGAUUUCACAAAACAAUAAUAUCAAGCAUAUAAUUCAAUAAUUAUAUUUAACAACAUAAAUAACUUCAUCUAUUAGUAAUAAUAAUUCUUCAUGUAAUAAUUCUUAAUAGUUCAAUCAUCUUCUAAUUAUCAUUUACUUCAUAUUCAUCAUAUAACACAUAUUAACCAAAUCGUAACAAACAUAGAUCAUCACAUCAUAGUCAUAGUUCAUAUAUAGUAUAACAACAUCUUAAUCCUAAUUCAUAUACAACAUAACAACAUCAUUAAUUCAUAAUAAUAAUUAUUCAUCAAACAUCUCUUUAUCAAUUCAUGAAUAAAAGACAGCUUAUCAACUUAACAUAUACAUCAUCAAGUACACCUAACAACUCAUAGAUAUCUUCAUGUAAUCAUCAUCACUAAUAACUUUAAAACAACACAAUGUAAUCAAUAUCUCACUAUAAUAAUAAUCAUAUACGACACAACAUAAUUAUCGCUUAAUAAUAAUAAUCAUAUACAAUACAACAUAAAUCAUCAUCUCAUAAUGAUAUGAACAACACAUAUUAAUCAUCUUAUAUUAAUAUAACAACAUAUACAUCGUCUUGUCAUAAUAUAAUAAUAUAACAACAACAUAUUCAUCUUCUUGUAUUAAUAUAACAAUAACGUAUUCAUCAUCUUAUAAAAUAUAACAACAACAUAACAUAAUAUUCACUUAAUAAUAAUUAAUCAUAUAUGGUACAACAUAAUCAUCACUUAAUAAUGACAAUUAUAUACAUCACAACAUAUAGCAUCAUAAAUACAUCACAUAAUCAACAUCGUAAACAUCAUCAUAACAUUAUAAUCAGUAUCAUAUACAAUAUCAUAACAACAUAACAAUAUCAUAAUCAAUAUCUUAAACAACAUAGCAACAUCUUAGUCAACUUUAUAUAGUUCACAUCAUAAACAUCGUAUAAUCUUCAUAGGUACUUCUUUAACAACACAUGGGUAGAAGACAACUCGACAACUCAUAGAUGAUAAUUCAUCACAACUUAACAACUCAUGGAUGAUAAUUCAUCAACAACGACUUUGACUCGACAAAUGCGACAAUGCAACUUAGACACUUAUAUGCAUGUGGUACCAAUCGUCAUCAUAAGUAUUAAUAUACUUUAAUCGUGCGGAGGACAAAGCUUCUAAUCGUGCGGAGGACAAAGCUUCUAAUCAUGGUGAGGACAAAGCUCAAUGAAUGCUAAUGCAUGGACUCUAUCAACAAGACGCCUUAAUCAACUUAUCACUUAUACAUCCAAUAAUUUGGAGUUCAUCAUCAACUUAUUCAUACUCAUGCAACUUAGUUAAAUAAUAAUUGCAGCAUAAUCAAAUCACAUCAAGCUUAAUAACAAUUCAUUUCAACAACAUCUUGAUCAUUCAAUAAUAUUUCGAGUAAUGCAUUUAAUCAUGAAAUCACAUUACAAACAACUUAGCAGUUCAUAACAGCAACAGAAACAGCACAAGUAAUUCACAACAUAACAAUAUUAGUGUGAAGCAUUAACAACUUAAACAUCAUACAUCUUCCACAUAAGGCAUAUAAAUAUUUCACAUAACCAACAACAGCAACAUAGGCGACACGUAAACAUCUCAAGAUAUAACAAUAUCAAAUGAUAAUCAACAACAACUUAAACAUCAUAUAUAAUUCACAUAAUGCAUAUACAAAUAUAUUACAUUACUAUCAACACUAAUUCAUAUUAUAAUAGCUUCACAAAUCAUCAAUAAUAUUAUAUUCAACCCACAUUCCUACCCCAACACUAAAUCAUAUUAUUAUACUCUUAAACACCUUAAUUGAACUCAUAGAACUUCUAGUUUUGAGGGUUGGUAUUAUCCUAUAAGUUUUGGAUUAACUUAGAAAUGGUUAUGCUGAAUUUUCAUAAGAUUUCACUGUGACCUACGUGCAGUAAUUUGACCAUAACUCAAGUUCUAUAAAUCGUUUUGACGUCAAUACCAGUUUCGUGUUUACAACUUUCGUGUUUACACCUAAGAUCAAUUCUGUACCAAUCAAUACCAGUUUUCAUUUCAAAUUCGGACAAAGUUGUGCUGAAAUUCAUAAAAAUUUACUAAGACCUCCUUGGAGUAUUUUCAUCAUAUCUCAAACACCAAAAAUCAUUUUCAUGUCAAACCAAAGCCACUGAAAAGCUAACACAAUUAUCUACAACUUUUAUGUUUACACCAAAGGCCAAUUCAAAACAGAAACGUGUGAAAAAAACGCAAGAAUGCGGAACAGAGAAUGCUGUCAAAGUGUAGCUCGCGAGGCGAGUAAGUGUACUCGCUGUGGCGAGUUGCGACGGACAAAUCUACGGGAACAGACCAGUUUUCACUCCAAAAGCCCCAAUUUCAUCAACCCAAAUACCAAAUUUGAUAGGAAACUCAACCUAUGUUUAUUCUAUAGCCUGAACUUCAAUUCUUAACACAAUUUCGAUGGUUUCUACACUUUUCAAUUCAAAAAUCAAUAAUCAAAACCUAAUCCCAAUUAUACAACCUAAGAACAACAACAUGUUAAAUCACAAAUUCAAAAUCAUAGGCUUAAGAAGAUUGAAUGUUAGUCUCACCCUUACCUUAAAGAAUGAAAAUCGCAGCCUCUAGGUCUUCUCCCUCUUCUCUUGGCUUUUUCCUCCUUUUUUCAAAAACAGUCGUACGUGCAAUUGUUUUUCUAAAACUAGGUUUUCUGUCCUUUUUAUAAAAAUCUUAACCUACUUAUUUUUCUCUUAAAUCCCAAUCUUAAUAUUCUAUCCCAAUAUAUAUAUAUAUAUAUAUAUAUAUAUAUAUAUAUAUAUAUAUAUAUUUUCCAUAACAAAUCAUUUAUACUUCUAUAACAAAUGACAUAUAUUUCUAUAACAAAUCAUAUAUAUUUCUAUAACAAAUCAUAUAUAUUUCUACAACAAAUAACAUUUAUAUUUCUAAAUCAAAUAAUAUAUAUAUAUAUAUAUAUAUAUAUAUAUAUUUCUAAAUCAAAUAGUAUAUAUAUUAUACUAAUAAAUACCAACAUAUAACAUAUCAAAAUAUCACUCAUCAAAAUAAAUCAUAUAAAUCACACAAAUCAUAUAAGUAUAUUCUAAACUCAUUAAAAUAAUCAAAUAAUUAGAGAGGGCGUGACAGUAUUGAUCAUGUGAAUUGGUUCUAGCAAUAAAACACUAAGCAAGACAAUUGAUUUAUAUACUUAUAUAAAUUAUUUGAAAGAAAAAUUGAAAUGCGUAACAUGCUCAUAGUAAAAAAUGUGAAAACUCUGUUUGCUACAACGAAGAGAUAAUGUAGCCUAUGAGGUACGACUCAUAGUAACAAAUGUGAAAAUCCGUUUUCUACAACGAAGAGAUAAUGUAGCCUAUAGUAACAAAUGUGAAAACUCCGUUUGCUACAACGAAGAGAUAAUGUAGCCUAUAAGGUACGACUCAUAGUAAAAAAUGUGAAAACUCCGUUUGCUACAACGAAGAGAUAAUGUAGCAUAUGAGAUACGGCUCAUAGUAAAAAAUGUGAAAACUCCGUUUGCUACAACGAAGAGAUAAUGUAGCCUAUGAGGUACGGCUCAUGUAACAAGAAAAAAAAUAUUGUUCGCCACAACGAAGAGAUAUAUGCACAUAGUAAAAUGUUUAAUUAAUGACUUGAACUUUUAGUUAAGAAUUGUGAUUAUGAUCAAUAUGAGUAUGUGUAUAAAUAAGAAUAUGACAUUAUGACAAAAUCAUGAUAGUAUUCUUCGUAGCGAUCUUAGUUAUCCGCGAUCGCUCAGUUAUGUAUGAUAAAGACUGUAUAAACCCGAAAUGGGUUGUGUUUAGAACAUAUGGCGAUCCUAGGUUCUCUGAGAUUGCCUACAACCUAGGAUAGGUGGAACUCACUGAGACAUCCUGUCUCACCCCAAUCCUUUUUACUUAUUUCAGAUAUUCAAGUUACUAGAUGACACAAUGGUUCGUGAUGAAGAAGCAGAAGUCGCUGGACCAUAUAAAGUUCACGUCAGUGGUAUUAUUUCAGAGUUAUAAGACGAGAACUUCCAUAUCUUAUUCAGAGGAAGUUUUGAUUAUUCUAAUUUUAAUGUAUCCAAUGCCAACUUUAACACAAAUGCUAGAUAAAUCCUAGGUAAUUUCUAGUAGGGGUGUUACAGUAAACAUGGAAUAUGUUUUUGUGACUUGCAUGAUUUUGUGCUUUCUUAAUCUUGUUGAACCUUUUUGUGAGGUUUGGACUUUCGGGUAGAAUCAAUUAUAUUAAUGAAUCUUGAGAGUCAUUAUAUUCAUUCAGGGAAUUUAUAUUCCGUCGAGAUGAUUUUUGGGAAUUUAAUAAUAUUAGACCGGCGACUUGAGUAAAUCUUAGAAAAAGAAAAUAUUAGAGAUGACUAGUGGUUUUUGAAUAAGGAGACAAUUCUAAGAUGUUUGGGACCGAUUAGAAGUCCAUCUGAGUUAGAUAGAACUUUAUCAGUUAUGUGUACCUUAAAACCGUGAAAUACGAUUUCAGUUUAUUUCCAAAAUCAAAACACUAUAUAUAGUAAGUUUGUGGUCCAAAACUCAUUAAUCAACAAAUUUACUCUAUUCUCUAUCCAAACCCGUAAGCCACCCUCCCUCCUCCAUCUUCAUCUUGUUUUGGAUGUAACUUCUUCGUUCCUUAUCCGAAUCGCGCAAACGAGAUAUCAAAACGAAGCUAGUGACGAAUCCUACGGUCCGAUACAUGAUUCACUGUGAUUUGAUGAGGUAUUCCUCUCCUUUUUCAUUUUUUUAAACUCGGUUUUGGGUAUUUUUGGAUAUUGGAUGUUGAGUUUUGAUUUUCUUGCGUGAUGUUAUGCAUUAAUGUUGUUCGGUAAGUCCGAAUGAAUAUACUCCCUCCGUCCCAUAAUAACUGAGCCAUUUGCAAAAAAAUAUUGUCCUAGAAAAAUUGACCCAUUUCAAUUUUCAAUACAAUAUUAAUUACUUUUUUCCAAUUAUAACACUAAUUAAUACUACUUUCACCAUUCCUAAUUCAAUAUAUUCUACUAUGCAUUUAUGAUAAAAAAGAAUGCACCAAUAGUUGAUAAGGGCACUCAAACCCAUUUUUCUCUCUCUUUUGCGGAGGGAGUAUAUCCACAAAAAUAUUUAUGAUUCGACUAUUUUUAAAUUUUAGCAUUAUUGGAAAAGUGUCUAAAUGUGAAUUUUAUUUGAUAUUUAUGAUAUAGACGAGUAAAUGAGUUGAUUCAACCUAUUUGUUUUCAAAAAAUGUUGUCCCGACGAAAGCGCUGAACCGUGUAGGGGCAUUUUUGUAAUUUUUGAAUUGUUGAAAUAUGAAAAUGAGUUGAGAAAUGGAUUUGCGUCGAUGAGACAGUCGAAAUGGAUAUAUGGUUUGCGACGUUUUGAGUAGGGAUGAAUUUAUUGUGAUUUUUUGAAAGUAGUUUAAAUUUGAGCUACCGCUGGAAGUGACUGUUGACACUUUCAAAAUUCAAAUUUUAAAUGUUUGAAUUGGUGAGUUGUGAAAAUAUUUUUUUCUGUGAAUUUAUGUUAGGUUGGCCGAGUCAAAGGCUCUAGUAUACGAUGUAAACACAAAGGAGACUGUUGAAAAUUCGUCAGAAUCAUUUUCUUAGUUUUGGGGUGAUUUUGAAAAGAUGUUUCAAAACGGAAAACAAGUUGGGAUUCAUUUGGAAAUGAAAAAUAUUUUAUGAACAAUUUUGAUCUCUUUAAGGUCUUUUGAUAGACAUAAAGUAUUUGAGAAAAAUGUUUUCAUGGGUGAUUUUAAGGAGAAAAGUUAUUUUAUUUAGUGUCUUCGAAGUAUUUGAGAAUAUUUUUGAAACAAAAUAUUUUUAGCGGUUGAAAUUUGGAAAGAAAAGUCUUUUCAUAAAGAGUUUCCUUCAAUAUACUUUUGUUAACUUUAGGUCAUGAGAUGACUUAAAUAAUUUCAAGGAUUUUGAGAUGAAUGUCGUAUUGAAAAAUAUAUUAUUUAAGUUUUUGAAAAUAUUGAAUUGAUCGUAUUUUCAAGCGUUGUUGAUAUUUCACCAAGAACGGGUAGAGAGUUUUAGAGCCGAUUUUUACCUAAGUUAUUGUAUCUAUUAGGAUACAUAGCUCGAGGGUUUAGAGAUGUUCUUGUUGUAGAUGCUUACGAGUUGGAGAGCUGUAUGUUUUAAGGAAUGUGUUGCUCAGGUAAGGGCAUUUUCUAGAAACUCCAUAGUUACUUAAAUGCUUGGAUGAUUUAUGUGCUAAUUUGUCUAUUGUGAAUAUGAUAUUUUGAGUGAAUGUGUCUGCUCAGUGUGGGAUCUGUAUGCCAUCAAUGUGAUUAUGAUAAGUUGAUGUGCAUCGCUUUCAUAUGAUUUAUGAGUAAAUAUAUGAAAUGCAUGUUGUUUUGUGAAAUGUUGUUUCGUAUGAAUUGAAAUAAAAUAUGUAAACUGCCAGUUGAGGCAUGUUAAAAAUAUGGAACUUCCAGUUGAGGCAUGUUAUUAUCAAUGCAUAUAUUAAAUGAUAUGUAAGAGUUACAUUUGCACAUAUUGAGUGGACAAUAUAUGCUCAUAGCACGUGUACGCACAAAUUUUAUAGUACGCGUUAGUCAGUUGCGACGCGCGGGGUGUGGACUGCCGUGAAGGAACCCACUUUAAAUCUAUGAGAUUUAUUGAGUCUUGGUUGCUCGACCAUUGUGGGGGGUUUAUCUCAGAUGUGUCUGAAUGGGGACCACAUGAUUUGCUCGACCAUUGUGGGGGGUUUUCCUCAGAUGUAUCCAUAUGAUAAUCAUGAAUUUCUUAGUAGGUUUUGCCUAUGACCAUCUGCAGAGUGGAUUAUUUCGGAAUCAUUUGCUAGGCUAAUUGUACAUCAUUAUAUUUUGUGUGAGGAAUGUUUAUGUUGAUACAAUUUACCAUUCUAGUUUGCUAUGCCUGCUGUAUUUUUGUAAUUAUGUUGUAGCAGUUUGACAGUCAGGCUUGAUGUCAUUGGUGGGUUCUUGUACCCUGUCAUCUAGUUCAGAGUUAAAUAGGAUCAGCUUAGUUGUAUUCAUGUAGAGUCCUUUGUGUAAUUUUUUUUAUACAUUUGUUGGGCAUCGUUGUAAAUGAUAUUACCUUGAGAAAUGAAUAAACGACCCCGGGGGUAAAUGAUAUUACCUUGAGAAAUGAUAUUACCUUUAAUGGGCAUCGUUGUAAAUGAUAUUACCUUGAGAAAUGAUAUUACCUUGUAGAGUCAUUUGUUGUGUAAUUUUUUUAUACAUUUUUUUACUCAGUGUAUAGUUUGAAAUUGAAAACUCAUUGCCUAUAACUAUUUUAUAAAAUAUGGCAUUGGAUUCAUAUUGUAUUGUGAAAAACGCUGUCAAAAAUACACCGAAAAACCAAGCCCAAAUUGAAACAGCAAAGGGGUGCUGCAAGAAGAGGCGAGAAGUAAGAACACAAAUAGAGACAACCACACGACCCCGGGGGUCGAAGAUUCUCAUCCGUAUGUAAUUUAUGGUCUAAAGCGCGCCAAAAAGUAAAGGAGGAAGAGGGUGGAAUGUAGUUCCGCCAAAUCAUGUCAGCCGAAGGAACAACCGUAGAGGGCGGAUUAAGAAAAUUAAAAACAAGCUUAGCCACUAAUAAACCAUCCGGAUAAUGUUUCCAGACCAGCUGAUCGCCAAGAGGAAUAAUAGGCGAAGAGAUAGCCUUAAUUCUAGACUUAAUAUCCGGUUGACAAGCAAAUUCAGGAGGAAGAUGCCAACAACCAUCCUUGAUCAAAGAAUUCAAAGUAUCGGAAAAAUGCUUCUCGAGAUUGGGAGGAAUAUCCAUAAAAUCUAUCAAAGGAACCCCAAGCCAACUAUCGUGCCAAAGAUUUAUAAAAUUACCGGCGGCAAUCAGCCUUAAACAAUUAUCAAUAACAAAGCCAAUUUUGGUUUUAAUGCCAGCCCAAACUGAGGACGGUAAAUGACGCUAAAUUGGUUGGCCAAAAGAAAAAUAGAGUUUCAUAAACAUUGCAAACCAUUGAGACUUUUCAGCCAUAAGCUUCCAACUAAGGUGCAAAAAGAGAGAAUCAUUAAUAGAACGGGUAGAUUUCAAGUUCAAACCACUCGCUUCCCAGGGAAGACAAACAGUUUUCCAAGCAACCGUACAAACUUUCUUAGUAUUAACAUCACCGCUCCAGAUAAAUUUUUUAAUCCAACGAUCCAAAGACUUAUGCAACAUCACCGGCCAUUGAUAGGCAGCAUGUAUGAGGUCUCUCAACAACUUGUUGACAUUGUUACUCAUGAUUCAUAAUGAGGUUCAACAAGUCAAGGAGUUGAAGGCUAGACGAGGCAAUUCUAGUGACAAUAUUGUCACCUCCAUCAAAUAAGGAAGUGAAGGGAACCCAAGUUAGACUAGCGUUUCUACUCAACCUACUUUAGUAGGAUCUUUACGAGUUCAGCCGAUACCUGUAUUACAAAUAGCUUCUACUUAUAAUUCUCAACCUACUACUUUUUUUACACCGAUAACCCUAGGGGACACCCAAUGGCUAAUGAUACAUACUACCAUGCUAAUCUUCAAGUUGAACAAAUUACAUAUGACAAGGAGAUCAACAUGCUAAUCAUCAGGUUGAACAAGUACAUACUAAGGCGAAUAACAAAUUAGCAUGUUUGGGACAUGGCAAAUCAAAAUUAAAAACAUCUAUACACGAACGAUAGCUUAGUAAUAGGCUUAUAAAAAAUAUACACAUUAACUAUACUACGACACUUUCUCAAUAUAUAGAUUGUGGUAGUACUCAGUUUUGAAAUACAUCAAGGUUUCAUCACAUGACAACAGUUGCAGGACAUCAAGCUUGUAGAUGCAAUUAUGUUUCAACAAACACUCUUAAUUUCUUUCCUCCCAAUAGGAAGAAUCACUUUGGAUAGGAUAAAGGUCUGCAGCUGAUGAAGGUGAAGCAGUCCAUCCAUCACUUAAUAAACUCUGACUUUGUGUUUGUGACUUGCUCAUCGUUUUGUCUUCGAUCUGAUAGUAAUACUGUCUCAUUUCUUCCAUCUUAUUGCCAUCCAUUACUUUACUUGAAUCUGGCACAAAUUCUGGAACCACGGUUCUUCCUUCAAGCAUACUUACAACUGACGACAUAGAGGGCCUAAGGUUUGAAGUGACAUUGGUGCAUAGGAGAGCCACAUUGAUCAUCACCAUGGCUUCCUUUUUGUUUAAAUCUAAACCUAAUCUUCCAUCAACUAGCUCCAUUAGGUCACCUUUCUCUUUCAACAUAUGUGCCUGUUGAAACAAAGAAUUGUUUUGUGAACCCUAAGUAAUUUACAAAUGAGAGGUGAUAUUUUGAUACACAAAUUUGACAUCAAAAUUCGACAACAAUUAGAUGGUUAUUGUAGUUAAAUUACGUUUAGUAGAUGGUUAAUGAAUAUAACAAGUGUCGCAACUAAUUAACCAUUCAUUCAAGACAAAUAACCGUAAUUUUGAACGUCAGAACAAUGAUUUUCAAAUUUUUAAACCAAAUUAUGUUUGAACGUCACUAACAAUUACGUUUAGCAGAUUGUAUCUUAAUUGUUAAUAUUUUUUAUACGCUGUUGUCUUCUUGUUGGUCAUGAUAUAUGAAGAUAGAAUGCUUCCUCCUUUGACAUAUCUUAGAGUUGAAUUAUUAGAUUAACAGUGAAUAACAACAGUAUAUGUAAGACACAAAUGAAGUGUCAGUAGAUAGUAGCAUCAAUAAAGUUACCCAUUCCAGAAGAGAGAAUGCUUCCUCCUUUGACCGAUACAUGGUGUUGCUCUUUCCGCUAGCGAUUUCCAAGGCAACAAUUCCAAAACUAUAAACAUCUGCUUUGUCUGUCAAAUAACCAUGCAUUGCAUAUUCAGGAGCCAUAUAUCCACUGCAUAGUUGGAACAUAUCAUUGUAAUAGCUUGAUAUCAGUAUACAACAUAUCGAAGUUUUAUACUAAAAAAAUAUCAUUUAAAUUGAAUUUGGUAACUUUUGAGUACUUUUUAAUACACCCAAAGAAGAAAUUAAUUAUAGUUACUCACUAAGUUCCAGCAAUUCUAGUACUAAUGUGAGUAUUGUCCUCCUCAUCAAGCUUGGCCAAACCAAAAUCAGAUAUCUUCGGGUCGAGAUUCGCAUCAAGCAACACAUUAGUAGCCUUGAUGUCCCUGUGAACAACCUUUAGUCUUGAUUCUUCAUGAAGGUAUGCCAAACCUCUAGCUAUACCAACACAAAUCUUCUUCCUUGUUGACCAAUCUAACUUUAUUUGGUGCUCCUCUGAACCUUUAUUUGUCAAUGUAAUAUGAAUCAGAUAAUGUUACUAAAUAGUAAAGUGCUAACUUAGUAAAUGUGAUAUAUCACAUAGAUAGCAAUGCAAAGUAGAGCAUAUAGGAAAAAUUACCGAAUAAAGCACGAGCAAGACUAUUAUUCUCCAAGUAUUCAUAUAUCAGCAACAAUUGAUCUCCCUCCACACAACAACCAUAAAGUUUAACAAGAUAAGGGUGUUGCAACGCAGAAAUCAUGCCUAUCUCAUUUAAAAACUCACGAUUCCCUUGCUUUGAUUUAGAAGAAAGUUGCUUCACUGCUAUCAAUGUCUCAUUAGGUAAACAUCCCUGCAUUUUGAGGAAUGCUAUUUUGUUAGUAGUUGAAAAUGACUUUUCUUAAAAAUAUAUAUAAAAUUAUAUUUAAAGCAUGACACUGAAGAGGAUUUGUUAUAUUAUGCAAAAUACCUUGAACACAGGUCCAAAUCCCCCUUCUCCAAUCUUGUUGGAAAUAUCAAAGUUAUUUGUUGCUGCUUUGAUUUGUCUUAAGGUAAAUAAACUUGUUUGUAGGUCUUUACUCUUCAGCACUGUUAAUAGAAGUAAAAGAAAGAUUAAAGAUCUCUUGAACUCAGAAAAUUACGCACGGACACUCUACAUCGACAGUCAAUUUCUUAUGAGCUUGCAACAUUCUUUUUAUCAAAAUUACACUAGUCUAUGUUCUGUAACAUGAUAUACUAAUAAGAGAAAGCCUUCAAACUUACUUGGUUACACAAGAUGCAAAAUUUUAUUUAUUAUCACUAGAAUAAUUUGUGUACUAGCAAAACACAUUAGAAAAAAUGGCAACAAAGGAUUUUUUUUGUAAUCACCUUUUGCUAAUGAGUUUUUAUAUCCAAAACAUCCUUUCCACCAAAGUAUACCAAAUACUAGAAUGAUUAUAAUUGUUGCUGCAACCAGAAUUCCAACCACAGCUCCUAUAGAUUUGCUUCCAGGUGGAGAAUCUGCUUGAUUGUUAUUGUGCUCCCUGAUUUUCGGAUGUCAAACCAUUAAUUGAUUUGAAUCGUCAAUCUUUGAACUCUCAAUUUUUAUUCGUGGGAAGGGAAAAAAAUGAGUAAAAACCCUUAUCGAGACUUUGGAUUCGGGGGUUGGUUUCGAAUAGGGAAGGUGUUAAGCACCCUAAACGACUUCGGUACUCCGAAGGAACCGCUUACCUAGAUUAUCUUGUGCUAAAUUCAUUUGCUUACUUGAAAAAUUAUUACCUAAAAAUCUAUGUAAAAGAAUGGAGGGAGAAGAAGUAUGUUUUUGGUUAUUUUUAUUUGAUUUGGAAGGACAAGUCCUCUGCCUACGUACCCUUUUGGGAAAGGGAUCAAAACCGACGUAGUUCCACUCAAAAAUUUCUUUGGUGGGUUAAGUUGAUUUUAAGAUUUUUUUGAAAAUGGUUUUUAGAAGAGAAAGAGGCCUCAAGGCUUGAGAUAAAAGGAAUGAGUGAGGUUGAUUGAUUUUAAAUUUUGAAAAUGAUUGAAGUUGGAUUAAAAUUGAUUGAGAAUUUGAUUAAGAAAAUAAAGGGAAAAUGUUAUUAAGAAAAUGAUUUUUGAAGUUUCGCAUAUUCGAUUUUUUUUGAGAAAAUGAUUUUUCUAAACUAACGGUGAAAACUAACGUAACGUCGUAAAAACUAACGGAAAGCGGUAAAUAAAAUGUGGUAGUGUCGGUGCAUGUGUCGGUGCUUGUGUUACCUAGAUUAUUACAUCAAUUCCUAAAUACAACCCUAAGGCCUUUAUGCCAAAAUAAAAAUGCAAGAAAUAAAAUUACAUCAAUUCCCUAUUUAUACACACUAAAUCAAUGACAAAAUAAGAUGAUGAGAAAAUUAAAUGUGCAUGCUAUGAUUCAAGACAAAAAUUAAAUCGUUAGUAAGCAUAAGAAAUAUCAUGGUGAAUGAGACAUAAGAAAUAAAAAGCAAGGAAUAAAGACAAGCAACAAUUAAGAUCAUCAUAUAAGAAAUAAAUAGAAAAUUUUAAAAGAAAACAAAUAGGAUGGGUUUUAAAAAAUUAGAGAAAAUUAAGAUAAUAAGAACAAUAUUUUUUGGAAUUUUUAAAAGCAUUAAAAUGUCAAAAAAAAGUGUAAAAAGUAUUAAAAAAUGAUAAAGAACAAUUAAUUAAAAAAACAAAAUUGGCUCAGCAGGAUCUAAUCUGGACCGUUGGAUGAAUCCAGAGGUCCAGAUCUGAAUCCCAAGAUCUCAUCACAGCCAUAGGAUCUAAGAUCCAACGGUUUAAAAAAGAGUAGGAACACGAUAGUAAACAGCAAGGGCGCACCAGAUUAAAAGAUAGUUUCAACAAUGGCCAUCAGAUCGUGGAACUAUCCAGAUCUGGUGGCGCAAAAACAUGAAGGAGCAUGAGAUAACGGUGGAUGCACGCGCGUGGGAUCGAGAGUGAGUAUAAAAGGAAUAUUCUGGUUUGUGAUCUCAUUUCUUCUCUUUUAUCCUCUCUCUAAACCAAACUCUCUCACUUCUCUCUAAAACAUUACGCCGGAGAAGAAGAAGAAUGGUGGUCCGACGCGGCGGCCGGCCGGUUUCCGGUGGCGGCGCCACCGCGCCGGAGCAACCAAACUACUCCGAUUUAAAAACUUUUCACGUUUUUAGAGAUCCUUUUUCUUCCUAAACUCAAAUCCGGGCUCACAAUUUCAAAAGCAGUUGACAACAGACCUAGAUCUAAGAUUUAAAACUCAAGAGUAAAGUAACUUUCUACCUCUUGUUCUUCGCGAUUUUGGUUCGAUUUCAGCUUCUUCUUCUAGUUACAGAUCCGAUUCCGUUUCUUCUUCACAAGACCGACUCGGAUUUGUGCUUCCUCUUGAUUCUGUUCGUUUUGAACUCGUUUGGAUGUAGAAAGUGGCGAGAUGAUAAUAGAUGAGUUGUUUGUUGGUAAAAUCGCAGGUGAUGUUAUGGUUUACAUGAUUUUUGUGAUUUUGUGUUCAUGAAUGUUUAUGAGGAUUCAUGAAGUGUUCAUCAUUUUUGUGGUGUUUGAUCUGGUAAAGAGGAUUGGAAUUACAUUAUAUGAUCUUUCUGAUUUUUUUGAUUUGAUGGAUGUUCUUGAGGAAAUUUCUUUAAAAAAAAUGGUUUGAUCUGUAAAUGAUGGAAAGAGAAAAGGAAUUGUGUUUGUGAUGAUUGGUGCGGCUGUUAUGUCAGUGUACAGUGAUUCCCCCCUUUUCCCAAUGAUUAGACAGUGUAUUUAUAGUGACAAAAUAGGGUUGGCUCUGGUACAUAUCAAAGACCAAAAUACCCCUGUUGGAGACUUGGGGAUAAAGACUUAACAAAUAAAAAUAAUAAGAAACAAAAAAACAGAAAAAUAAAAAAUAAAAAAUGACAAAUAAAAUAAAAAUAAAAUAUUAAUUAAUAAUAAUAAAAAAAAGUCCCUUCGAAAUCUGACAUGAGGUACUUCAAAGUAUCCUCCCUGCCGAAAUUUUGUCGGAAAUGAUUAAAAGGACGUGAUUUUUAAAAUAUGAUUAAACCUUUUAAAAUGACUUGAUUAUUAUGACUAACAAGACUAUCAAAUGCGCUCAAAAAGUUAUAAAAAUGCAGAUAAAAGUUUUUUAAAUGAUUAAAGAAGAAAAACGCGAGUUUUAAAUGGUAAAAAAAACGAAUAGAAAAGAAUGUGGACUAUUUCAAAAUAUGGACAAAAAAGAUUUUAAAUGGUCCAAAUUUGGGGUAUGACAGUUAUUAUACAAGAAAUUUCAAUAUUAGAUCAUAACAUGGAGAUCAUAGCAUAAGGUUAGAAAUGUGCCAAGUAUAACCCACCAGAUUCAAUUGAUAUAGCUGAUAUAAGAGGACCAUAUACUGAUCUAUUUGGGAGUGACUGUGUCCCUUUUCCAGCCCAAUACAAGCGGAUCUCCAAGGUAUUACUAGUAACAACAACAUCUUUGAACUGUUUCAUCACUUUUUUACCAACUCCUCCUGCUUCUUCUGCAAUAUUGAACUCUUUUUUCACUGGCUUUCCCUACAAAAUUUCAAUCAUAACCUUAAAGUUUCAUGAUUAUUACGUCCUGCAAAUAUUUUAAUUGGAAAAAAAAAUAGUUUGACAAUGUCCCUAUCGGAACCUAGUGAACAUCACUGAUCAGGUAACUAUUUAUAUAGGCUAUUUUAAAAAAUAGUUUGAUAUAGUCCCUACAACUAUUUAUGAAACACUGAGUAACUAUUGGAAUUUGGAAGAAUAUUGUUAAACCAUGUACCUGAAGGUAGAUAUCAAAUACACGUCGUCCAAGACUACCAUAAGAGUCAUCGUCUGUGAACAUUAUUUCAGCAAAAUGUAGAUAUACUGUGUAUCUUCCAUUUGCGAGGCAAAAGCCAUAAUAUGUCAAAGAAAUAGGUGAAACACGUGCAUUUGUGUACAAUUCAGCAUCCACCAUAGUAAGUCUGGUGAUGUUUUUCGGGGAAUAAUUUAUCUGAAGUUGAUCACUAUCAAUGUAUAUACCAGUGGUACUCAAUGCCCAAUUUCCAGUUGGACUGCGAUAGAAUCUAGCAGGUCCAGGAGAAUCUGAAUCAUCAUCAUAACUUGUUUUGUUGACUUUUGCUCGACUUCCACCACAAUUUAUAUAAAGGGAGUAUGAGGCUGGGUUGAGCAGAUCAUGUGAGAAACUAUAUAAUUAAUCAGAAAACUACAAGAAUCAAAUAAGGAAAUACAUGUAAAUCAAAUAAUGAAAAACAUGUUGAGUAAAAUUUUAUUUUUCUGUACUCAUUCUCUCCCUUUUUAACUAUCAUGUUUCUUUCCCACUGUUGAUUUAACUAUCAAACCAAUAUACACAAAUUUUCCACAACUUCUAAACACCUUAGUUUUCCUUGUUCCCACUGAUGGGAUCUAAUUUCCAACACUCCCCCUCAAGUCCAACUAGAUAGGUCUCUUUAAUUUGCUAAGUUGUGAUUUUUUUUCUUCCUCGGACCUCCUAUUUUUUCUUACUUGAUUUUUUCUUUAUGUGGGCUCUCUAUUUUUUGUUUUGGGCAUGUACUCAUUGAAGUCGGGUUGUGUGGGUGAUUUGUCAUUCUGCCCUUCAGAAAAACGGAGGUUUUACUAGAAGUGGGCUUCCGGUAGUGUGUUUUGACAAAUUUGAGCAUAUAUAGUGGGGUAGAUUGAGAAAUUGUUGAUUGUGUGGCUACCCCAUUUUUUAGUCAAAGGCCCAAUAGAUGUUGGAUAUGGAAGAUCAUAACAGUCAACUGACAAGUAUUCCAUGAAUAUAAUUUAUGAAUUGAUAAUCACAUUUGUUCUCUGCAUUAUUCAUGCUUCAUUCCUAUCUAAAUAUGUUGUUCUCUUCUUGGCAUCAUAUUUUGAAACAUUUUCUCCUGAGAGCUUUUUUUUUUUAAUAAAAAGAAAUAAAAAACAAUAGUGAGAUCUUAGCUGUCUAUAAGAAAUUCACCACUAAGAAACUCACGUUUGGGACAUUCAAAUCUCAAACACGCUGUUUCUCUGCAAGGAUUGAAGAAGUAGAGCAAGUUAGCAUGAUUAUAAUAAUAAGACUCAUCACAUAAUAAAAGGAAAAUAGAAAGGAUGUAUAUACAUGGUUUAGUAUUUAUAAUAGAAAACUUACAGGUCAUUGCGUGCCGAUGAGGUAGAAAACAAGUUCCUGCAACAAAUUAGAGAAUGUGGUGCAUCAAGAAAGUUUCUAAUUAAGUUUGCAAAUUAAUGAACACAGAUGCAAGAUUUCUUACACUUUUUCAUCUUGACAUUUCUGAUUCUCGCUGAUGCUGAAGUUAUUGUAUGAAAGAUCUCUAUACAGCUAAACGACAAUUCUUAAAUAAAAUGAAAGCGAAAAUGCAGAGAAGCAAGCAAAAAGAAAAAGAAAAGUCCACUUAGAAAGGUAAAUAUGAAACAGAUGAUAUAUUUCAUCUUUGCGUAAAUGAAGUAAGCCAUUCAAUCAAAGGAAUCAUGCAAGUAGUAUAAGAAUGAUAACUCACACAUCGGCAUUAUGUCCCAAAGCAGGAGGCACUGGUCCAGUGAGUAGGUUUCCAGUUAAAAAUCUACGACAAAAGAAUAUCAAGAUAUUAAUAUACACCUCUAAGAAAUUAAUUGAGGUAGAUAUCUUUAAUCACCUACAUUUAUCUCUUCAUCUUUAUGAAAUGGUUAAUUCAUAAAUUAACUGUCUUGAUUAAUUAAGCCAACAGAUAUGUGACUAAAAAUAUACCCCAAAAAAUAAUCGCACUAAAAAACUACGAUGAAUUUCAUACAUGUAUUCCAAACUGUUCAUGGCAGCAUAAGUACUUGGAAUUGUUCCACUUAUGUUGUUAAAGCUGAGGUCUCUGAAAGAGAUAUCAUAUUGAGAAUAAGUUAAAAUGCUACUGAGAAAAUUUGUUGUAAAAAACAUACCUGGAAUAUAAUAAGUUAAAGAGCUGCUACAUAUAUCGAAAUAGUAAUAACAAAAACAAAGAUACCAAUGGUUAAAGAAUCAACUAAACUUAACAUCUUGACCAAAACGAAACUAAGUUUAACAUAAGAAACUUUAGUGGUUAGUGUCAGAAAAUGUAGGGAUUAAUAACAUAUUAGGAGGUAUACUUUCUAGAAAUAUUUUGUUUCUGUUCAUUUCAAAUUGCAGGCAAAGAGAUGGAAUACUUAUGAUAACGAGAAUAUGAAAGGUACGUUAGGCAGAAUGCAUUUUUAAAAACAAUGAAAAUGGUAAAUUUGUUUUCAAAACUUGUAAAAGAAAAUAACAAGGAGGUUAUAGGAUCUAUAUUCUCUUGUUUCUGUUAGUUGAAGUAAAAAUAUAAACAGGAAACAUACAAAGUUAACGAUCCCUAAUGCAUUUCAGUAUUAUGCAACGAAAUUAUAUUAUGCAAAAUGAUGUCAUAAUCUGAAGACAAUCAUGUAUUUUGAAAUUAGAUUAUUCAAAAAGAUGCCAAACGAAAUGUAGCGAGGAAGCAAUUACAAGUGUUUUAAUAAUCCCAUAUUCCCAAGAUAAUCGAGUAGUUUUCCAUUGAUGUUGCAGUUCCUCAGAAUCCUGUGAAACAAAAAGAUAGACAACAAUAUAUUAUGAGUGCCUCUCUUGCUGCUUUUUUUUUCUUAAAAAAUAGAGAAAUCAACUCACAGAGUAUUUAACAAUGUCAGAUUAUUAAGUUGUGGCAAAGGUGCAUAUUCAGAUCCACUCAGAUCACUAAUUCUCCUGAAUAUCACAUUUGAAUCAAAGCUAAGGAACAACAUAAUUAAAAUGAAAGUUAAAUUUCCACCUUCGCUUCAGUAUAUAUAUCAUACAUACAAGUCAGUUAAGUUUCUCAAAAGAGAAAUUCCAGACGGAAUCGGCCCACUUAAUCCACUUCCUUGAAUCAAUCUGUCAAGAGGAAAUCAAGCAUUGAUAAUUCUUAUAAAAAUUAAAGCAUUACAAAAGCAAUUAGAUAUGAGGAAAAAUUAAAAUAAAAAUAAGAGAAAGCAUACAGUGAAUUGAUAUUUGUCUAGUUUUGAAUAAAAUUAGGUAUCUUUCCAGAGAAUUGGGUGUCGGUAAUAUGGCUGCAUUGAUCAGAGAGGACAUAAAAAUUAUAUCAAAAUUUGGUCUUCUCUAAACAUCAUAAAAGCUUGAAACUUACAAAUCUUGCAAUGUAAUGAGCUUGGCCAAUGUCAUUGGUAGUUCUACAGUAAAAUUGUUCGAGGAAAAUUGCCUAUAUAUUUUUUAAAAACAAAAUGGUAAAUGUUGAUUCAAAGCCAUGGAAAUAAAAGUGAACUUUGAACAUUUGGCUUUCAUAAUAAAGUGCUUACAGUAUUCGAAUCUGGGUUAGAUUCCCAAGCUCGGGAGGAAUAUUUCCAGACAUCUGAUUGCCAACUAACACCCUACACGUUUCAAAUAAAACUUAGGUUCUACUAGAACUGAUUUGGAUUGAACACAUAGAAGUUUAUGGAAAGAAAAAAAAAGUUGCCAAGUGAGAUAAUGAGAAACUCACAAAAUUUGGAGAGUAGAUAUGUUUGCAAUCUCCGCUGGUAUUGAACCAGUUAAACGAUUUCCGAAGAGACUACUGUUAUGAUUAAGAAACAUGUUAUUGCUUCAAGUUAUGAAUGUAAAUCCUUAUAAAGAAUCUAUAAUAAGACUCAGAUGUAAAUAUCAUAUAAUAUUCAGAACAAUCUAUGAUUGAAAACCCGAAAACAAAAAAAUUCUAAUCAUACAUUUGACGAAGAUUUGUCAUGGAGCCCCAUUCUUUAGGAAUUGGACCGUUAAGGUAAUUGCGAGGGAGUUCACUGUAAUAGACGGAGAGAAAGAGUUUGUCAUGCAAAAUAAUAAUUGAUACCUGUGAUAGAUGAUAUAAAACAUGAUUAAUAAUAUUUUUAAUUUGGAUGUCAGGAAAAGUGUGAGAAUUAUAUUACAUACAUAAUUUGAAGAUAAUGCAACCUGUUCAUUUCCGGUGGGAGAGUUCCCGGGAGAUUUUGCCCUUUCAAAGUUCUGUAUGUUCAUUUUAUCAUAAAAAAAAUUAUUAAAAGAAAUUAAUUCUAAUAUAUUUCUUAGUUAAAUUCAAAUGAAAAAAAAAAACAGGCUAGUUUAUAGACAAUAUUGGACAAUAUUGAUUUUACUUUAAGUUUGAUUAUAAGGGUAGCAAUUUUAUACAGGCAUAAUGAUACGUAUAUUUAAUUUAAUGGUAGGGUAUAAGUAUACCAGUUAAUUUUAAUAAAUUGUAUUAACUGAUCUAACUCAUUCACACAUAUACAACAUCAAUAACUAACUCUAUAAGUUUAAUUUCUAUAUCAAUGUAAAUAACUAACUCAACUCAAAUUAAUUAGAAGUGCUGAUAGAACUUCGACGGAAAAAGACUUACAUUGCAACAACAUGGCAGAAGUUGUCACCAGGAAUAGAGCAGUCACAGGUGACAUUAUUCUCUACGAUUUUCGGUAUGGGAGGCGUAAACCAGUUAGGUUUAUUGCUGCAUGGAUCAAUGUCAAAGUUCCAAUCCUUCUUACCAAGUGAUUUAGCUAUAACUUCAAGAGCUUUCUCUAAAUAUACAUACAAUUGAGAGCUAUCAGAUAAGUACUGAAAAAACUUCUAAACUACACACACAUGUCAUCAAAUAUAGAUACAGAAUUUCUACAUGAGCAAAAAAUAAUACAUGAUAUUUGAACUAUAACAUGAAUCCUUAGAUGAAAAUAAAGAUGAAAGAAAUUUCUAUAUUGGUUGGUAGUAUAGCAGAAAUAAGAAUCAUACUUUCGUCGGGGUGAAUAGUAUUAGCUCCAAAAGAUGUUUGAGAUAUCAACCAAAUGAGAAUGAGUGAAAGGAAGAAACAUUGAGUGGAUGUGGCCAUCUUAUCUUAAAAUUAUUAACAAGGAAGAGAGAAGUUCAGAUAUAUCAAUAACUUAGCAGUAGAGAGUCUCAAUAUAUAUAUAUAUAUAGCAUGUAUUUUUAAUUUAAGUGGCAAGAGCAAGUCCUCAAUGCAUGUAAAAACACUUAUCGGUAAGAGUGACACCUCUCGGUUUACGGAUGAGUUGGACACGAUAUAAAAACAUAACAAAUGUGAUUGUGUAUUCUUAAUUCAUUUUAAGAUGAGAGCAACAACAGUUUUAGAAAGUUAAAUGAUGAAUCACGCAGAAAUUGAUGUCACAAGUAUAUGGGCCAGUGAUGUUUAAAGGAUGAAAAUGACAUAGGAAAGACUUAGAGUAAUAUAAAUGACAUGACACGAUGUGUAGAAUGAUCAAUACCUAUAGAGUUAUCUGAAAACUCCCUAAAAACUUCAAUUCAAUUAAAUGUAAUAUAUCACCAUAUUUUAAGUUAGAAAAUCCGAAAGAGAGACUAAAAUUGUUAAUAAGUAUUUUAUAAAAUUGGAAUCAUAUCUUUUAUUAAUCCUACUUGUUUUGACUGAAAAAAGUCUUAAUUUUCCAAUUUGUCCUUCUUUCCUUCCUUCCUGGAAUUUAACAAUAGGAAACUCCAUGGUCCCAAUGAUAAGUGACAAAUUCAAAAACAUGCAUGCAUGAGGUAGGCCAUUAUUCCUCGUCCUAUUCAAGGCCUUGCUCAAGAAACCUUAAUUUUAUUGUGUGAAGAUUACGACUUUACUGGCUAUUGUUGCAUCAAAGAAGUGGUCCCUAUUCUAGCUAGAUGUUAAAAAUACCUUCCUACAUGGAGAAAAAAUUGCAUUAGUAGUGCAAUAAGAUGGCCCAUAGCAAUGAAUGUUUAAAUAAGAAAUCAAUGAACUUAUUUUAAAAUUUGUUUUAAAAAUCAUUUUUAAAACAAUUGUUUUUAAAUAGAUAAUAAUAAGAGUAAAUUAUACUCUCCUCCCCUCAAAGAUGCUUGAAUUACACACCCCUUCCCUCUUAUGUUAAAAUAUACACUUCCCUCCUCUCUCAUUCAAAACAUAUUAGAAAAUAUUUCACUCCCCUCCCUUGAGAUAAUCUUGAAUUACGUUCCCCUCCCCUCUUGUGUUUAAAUCUACGCUUUAGUCCCUCAAUAAUUUUUUUUUUAUUUCUAAUAAUCUAAUAAACUUUAAAGAAAAAUAGCAUUGCGGUUCAUUUUAAUAUAAUCAAAUUUUGAAUGCAUAUCUUUCUCUAUUUUUUAUUCACAAUUUCAUUAACAUAUAAUUUUAAACCCUAUUAUAAAAUAUGAAACAACCCAAAGUAAAAUUAAAAUAUGUGAAAAAUUACUAAAAUUGAUUAAGUAUGGUUAUUUAAAAGUUAAUUUUAUACUCUAAAUUAUAAAAUUAAUAACAAAACAUUUAAAUUUAAUUGUCAUUGACAUUUAGGUUAUAAAGAAACAAAUUUAAAUUUUUUAAAUGGUGAUUCAAAAUGAUUAUAUAUUAUACAAAUAUUUAUUUAUGUUAAAAUAGAUUAAAGUGUAGUCCAUAUUUAAUUAUUAAAGGAGGAGAGUAUAAAUUUUACUUUUCAAAUGAGGGGAGUGUAUAUUAACAUAAGAGGAGAGAGGAGUGUAAUUCAAACAUCUUUAAGGAGAGGGGAGUGUAAUUAACUAUAAUAAUAAUAAUAAUAAAUAAUCGGUUUGAUAGAACCGGGAACGAGACAGCUGACCGGUCCGAGCCAUAUAUUGGAGCGGGGAAUGAUAUAUAUUAGCCUCGUUGUGACGCUAUCAAUUUAGUCUUUUAUUUUUAUUUUUUUGGUAUUGGCGCGAAAAACUAGAUGGGAAGUAAAACGUUAGAAAUUCUGAAAGUUUUAAUAUGUAUUAUAUCAAAAUCAAUGGUAUCAUUAUAGUUGUUGUAAUAUUUUAAGGGUUUUGCUAAUAGUGUUAUAAGGAUAAUGAUUAAGGAUGUCAAAAAUAGAUUUUUUUUAUUAAAAAUAAUAAUUUUUUGACUUUCAUAAAAUUAAAUAUUUCACUUUUCACCAAUUUCCAAUGGAUAUAUAAUUUCUAUAUUAAUUUUCUUAACUAAUGUCCUUAUGGCGGCACUAGUUAGCAUUUCCCUUUUUUAAAAUUUUUACAAAUAUACACUUAUAGAAUGUUGUGAAAUAUUAAAUACAUCCACUAAUAUUAAAAAAAGAACCUUUAAAUGAGAUAUAGAAAAGUUUUUUAAGUCAUAACUCCACCUUAAAAAUUGUGACAUUUCCUUAUAAACAUGACCAAAAUAUUUUUUGAAAAUUUUCUUAAGAAACGGAGGAACUAUAUUAUAUACAAUUUAAAGGUAAUCGUAGCUCUUUAAUGUUAAAUGGAUGUUAAAUUGUGUCGUUGGUUAUUGACUUAUAAGGUCUUAUGAUAUUUCCUUUAAAAAAAAAAAAAAAGUUCUUAUGAUACGUCGUAUAGAAGGGUAUAUUUAUCUGCUCAAAAAAAAAAAGAAGGGUAUAUUUAUGGAGAAAGAAAGAUAAAACACUAUGGAAUAGGACAUUGUGGGGGGUGGGCAUGGUUCGGUUAACCUAAAAAACCGAACCGAACCGAAAUUUUGAAAUGGUUUGGGAAAAUCGAACCGAACCGUUUCAAGUAUGGAGCUAACCGAACUGAACCAAAGUUAUGGUUCGGUUAACCGUUUUCUUACCUAUGAACUGAACCGAACCAAAAUCAAUAUUUUGAACCGAAAUGCAUUUCUUUUAUCCUUUUGUGAAUUUAAUUGUGUUUUUUUAUCCUUUUCAAAAUAGCUUAUUUGAUAAACAACUUAUUUGAUAAACAACUUAUUUUCUGAAAAACAACUUAUUUUAAAAACAACUUAUUUUAUGCAAAACACCUUAUUAUAAAAAACAACUUAUUUUAUGAAAAACAACUUAUUUUUGAAAACAGCUUCUUUUAUGGAAAAACAGCUUAUUCAAAAAAGCUUAUUUUAUUAAAAAUAGCUUGUUUCGAUCUCUUUCUAAAAACAACUUAUUCAAAACAGCUUAUUUCAAGCAAAACAACUUAUUAUAAAAAACAGCUUAUUUAAAAUUGCUUAUUUUAUGCAAAACACCUUAUUUUAAAAAACAGCUUAUUCAAACAACUUAUUUUAUGAAAACAACUUAUAUUAAAACAAAUUAUUUAAAACAAAUUAUUUUAUUCAAAACAUAAGUUGUUUUCUGAAAAUAAGCUAUUUUGAAUAAGCUGUUUUUAAAAUAAGGUGUUUUUCAUAAAUUAAGUUGUUUUUUUAAAAUAAGUUGUUUUUCAAAUAAGCUAUUUUGCAUAAAAUUAGCUGUUUUUUUUAAAAUAAGUUGUUUUCAUAAAAUAAGCUGUUUUGUAUAAGUUGCUUUUUAAAAUAAGGUGUUUUGCAUAAAAUAAGCUGUUUUGAAUAAGUUUUUUUUUUUAAAAUAAGCUAUUUUGCAUAAAAUAAGCUGUUUUUCAAAUAAGUUGUUUUUUUGAAAUAAGUUGUUUUCAUAAAAUAAGCUAUUUUUAAAAUAAGGUGUUUUGCGUAAAAAAGCUUUUUAAAAUAAGUUGUUUUUUUGGAAAGAUCCAACAAAGAGUUCAAGUGGUUUCCUUAAAAAAAUAAAAAAAUAAAAGUUCAAGUGGUUCGGUUCGGUUCAAACGGUUCGGUUCAAGAUGGUUUGGUUAUGGUUCAAGAACUGUUAAUAAAUUAACGGUUCGGUUCAUGAACCAUUAUAAUGGUUCGGUUAUUUUUGGUUCGGUUCCCGCGGUUCGGUUCGGUUUAUGGUUCUUUUUGCCCACCCCUAAUUGUGGAUAAAGCUUCUCUACUUCACUAGUCAGUUAGAUUUUGAUUCCGAUAAUUCUUUGUUUUUUAAAUAAAUUCCGAUAUUGAUUAAUAUCGUCAACUACUAAACUACUCUAACGUACUAAACUAAAAUUCUUCUUAUAUUAUUAAUUUAUUAUUAUGAGGUCAUAUAUGCUGAUGUAAGUAUAUGACGCCCACAAAAAGACAAAUGGACCUAACAUACUAGUGUACAGUGUAUUUUUAUUUUAUUUUUUAAGAAAAUUGAUGUUCACACUUCAAAUAAGGCUAAAACAGAUUUGAAAGUGACUUAAAUGUUCCUUAGUAGUUAAUUGCUGCUGGUUAAUACCAUCGGUAGUUAACUACCGAAGUUUCCUUCGGCAGUUAACAGUCGUCGAUUCCAUCGGCUGUUAACUGCUGAUGCGUCUUGAAAUUAUACAAAAACAGAAACAUCAGUCUCAAAAUUAAUUCCAAAACCUCUCCAAUUCCUGCAAUCCUCUAAAUUUCAUUUGACGAAAAUCAAGUGAAUCAUCCCCACAAAAUCAUAAAUAAGUAGUAUUCAUCAUUUGUAAUCAUAAUGUUAGUUUGUGUAGGUUUAUUUUUGUUAAUUUUGCUAGUUUGCAUGUGGUUAGGGUUGAUGUAGGAAUUGAUAUUUUGAUGAUUGCAUAUAUAGUUUAUGAAUUUAUAAAUGAAUUUAUUUGUUGUAAUUGAUGUUUAAAUGAUGUUUAAGUAGAAUGUGGUUUUGAAUGGUGUCAAAUCAACAUAAUGAUAUUAAGUUUCAUAUUUUGCACAAAAAGUGUUUGUUAAAAUGCCUAAAUGAGAAUGUUGAUGUUAGUUGUUUUAGAUUGUGAUAGUGUAUAAGUCCAUGAUGUUAGAAUUGUGAGAAUUCUCAAAUAGAAUUGUAUUUUUGAUAAAUGUAUAUGAUGAUGUUGAUGAAUGUAUAUUUUUGUUAAUUUUGAUGUCUAUUUUAGAAUGCUAAUUUUGUUAAUUUAAUGAAGAUAUUAAAUUGUUUUUUAGUUAGUAUAUGAUGUUCAUUUUGUUAAUGUUUUUUUCAAUGAUGUUAAAUUUUUAAAAUUAUGUGUAAAUAUAUCUAAUCAAGAGCAGAGGCAUUAACUUGGCCAAAAUAGGACCAUAUCUGAUAGGCUUGCCAUGACUAGUAGCGUCAGGCAGAAAAGGAUAAACGCUCAUAUCCCAAAGAGGGGAAGAGACUGGAGGUCGAAUCACAAUGAUGGUGAAGACAGUUCUCAGCCUACAUAACUACAAGUGGAUGACCCGACCCAGUAUUAAGCGAUUUUUGGAUAAAUAAGUUGUUUUGAAUAAGUUGUUUUUGAAAAAUAUACUGUAUUAAGCGAUUUUUGACUAAGCGGUUGAAAAUGAGGUCGUAAGAAGCAGCUUUUUUAUAAAUAUGUUGUUUUGAAUAAGCGAUUUUUUGAAAAGGAGGUCGUAAUAAGCUGUUUUGUAUAAAUAAGUUGUUUUGAAUAAGCUUUUUUUGAAAAUGAGGUCGCAAUAAGCUGUUUUGUAUAAAUAAGGUGUUUUGAAUAAGUGGUUUUUGAAAAUGAGGUCGUAAUAAGCUGUUUUAUAUAAAUAAGCUGUUUUGAAUAAGAUGUUUUUGAAAAAGAGAUCGUAUUAAGCUGUUUUUCAUAAAUAAGUUGUUUUGAAUAAGCUGUAUUUGAAAAUGAGGUCGUAAUAAGCUGUUUUGUAUAAAUAAGUUGUUUUGAAUAAGAGGUUUUAGAAAAUGAGAUCGUAAUAAGCUGUUUUGUAUAAAUAAGCUGUUUUGAAUAAGCUGUUUUUGAAAAAGAGAUCGUAUUAAGUUGUUUUGUAUAAAUAAGCUGUUUUGAACAAGUUGUUUUUUGAAAAGAGGUUGUAAUAAGCUGUUUUGUAUACAUAAGCUGUUUUGGAUAAGUUGGUUUUGAAAAAGAGAUCGUAUUAAGCAGUUUUUUUGAAAAUAUGUCAUAAUAAGCUGUUUUGUAUAAAUAAGCUGUUUUGAACAAGUUGUUUGUUGAAAAGAGGUUGUAAUAAGCUGUUUUGGAUAAGUUGUUUUUGAAAAAGAGAUCGUAUUAAGCAGUUUUUUUGAAAAUAUGUCAUAAUAAGCUAUUUUGUAUAAAUAAGCUGUUUUGAAUAAGUUGUUUUUUAAAAAAGAUCAUAAUAAUUUGUUUUUCAUAAGAUAAGUUGUUUUGAAUAAAUUAGAAGUUAAAUUACGAAGUAUAACAAUGUAUUUGAUUCUAAGAGGAAAAAGGGUAAAAUAGUAAAAUUAUAACAUAAGCCCUCCAUCUCCUUUUAUUAUUGGCUUUUUAACUCCCAAACAAGGGGAAGGUUUUCCCUCCUUUCUCCCUUCCCUUCCCCUCCUUAGCCUUUCCUUUCCUUCCCCUCAAAACUCGCAAACAAAGCCUUAGUCAACUAAAGAAGGAAGAUUAUCAACAAAAAAAUGUUUAUACCAAUUUAACAAUAUGAAGGUUGGAGAAUAUAAAAUCUCUUCAAUGUCACGCAUUCAAGCCACGGAAACAAUAUGAAGUUUUAUACUAAUUUAACAUUUUUAUUUUUUUGAAAAGAUAACAUAGAUAGUGGAUUAUGUGUGGAAUCCAAAUCAUUGAAGCUAAAUUGGUAAUCAUAAUAACUAGGAAAUACAUAUUAUUGGAGUUAUAGGUACUACAGUUGUCACAUAUUUGAGUUGUUAUUAAUUAGAGUCAUUUUAUACAAAUUUUUAUAUUGGUUUACUGAUAAAACAAGAAGUUUAUAUAUACAAAACUGGUUUUUCAUGAUUCUUACUGAGUUACUGCAGAUGUCAGCUCAGAAUAUAGUGAUUGACAGACAUAAACUUUAGGCUUAAUUAUUCUUUUGGUCCCCUAACUUAUUUUUUGAUUUCGUUUUGGUCCCUUAACUAUUAAAAGUUUCGUUUUGGUCCCUUAACUUACUUUUUGGUUUGUUUUGGUCCCUUAACUCUAUUAAAAGUUUCAUGGGAGUAUGGACACUGAGGGUCAAGAUUGAAGAGCAAGAAUUAUACACAAUAGUUUCAUUAUCUUUAGCUUCCAUAAAUACAGUAGUUACCUAUACAUACUUCCCCUUCUCUCCAUCCUAUACUACAUCUCGGUUAUUCAUUCUCAACAUUUUCCAUCUACCACAUUCUAUAACACAACUUCAAUUGUGCAAACAACAAAUAAAAUCAGAGAUACACAAGAGUAAAAAAGAUUUGUAGAUCGAAGGAUGUAGAUCUAUGGUGAGAACGUGAAAUUGAUGGUGAAACAAGAGCUAUGGAGAUUGAGAUUUUGACAUCAAGAGCGUCAACGAGAUGAGUUCCGAGAGUGUUUCUGGUAGAACAGAUUUGUGUCUCUGAAUGAAAGGGCUAAAACUGUAAUGGAUUGUUAAAUAGUAAAAAUAGACUAAUAUUAUAAAUCACGGUCAAAUGACAGUUAAUUAGCUUGAGAUUUACCAGAAACACAAUUUGUAGCAAAAAUAUAGUAGCAAAUUACGUAUUUCUUGUAGUGGAGUCGACGACAACCAGCUCUGACACUAGUUGUUAAAAUCGGUAAUCAUAAUAACUAGGAAACUAAAUUGAAAUACUACCUUUUAUUUAAUAAUUCUGGAUAAUGAGGCAAGAACUUGUAUUACAACAGGAAAUCUAGUUUUUAAAAUUAUAGGAGAGAAAGCAAAGGGAAAUUUAUAUACUCGCAAAUAAUUGCCUUGUUACUUUCCAUUCAGUUUCCCUAUUUAUUCAAAAAUUGCCUAAAAACAUAACUGUUAUUUCGAACCUCUACGCCUCCUUGUAUCGUGAUGUUUAUUACUAAGAGGUCUAAUACACUAAUUUUUUUUCAUCCCAUUAGGAAGAAUCAAUUGGUGGAGAUGAAGAAGUAGUACAUUGCCCAUCAAUUUCUUCCAUCUGAGAGUAAUACUGCCUCAUUACUUCCAACUUCUGUUUAUCCAUUACUUCAUUUGAAUCUGAAACAAAUUCUGGAACAACAGUCCUUCCUUCAAGCAUACUUACAACGGACGACAUUGAAGGCCUAAGGUUUGAAGUGACAUUGGUACAUAGGAGAGCCACAUUGAUCAUCACCAUGGCUUCCUUUUUGUUGAAAUCUGAACCUAAUCUUCUAUCAACUAACUCCAUUAGGUCACCUCUCUCUUUCAACAAAUGUGCC
rnacentral:lncRNA from 1 species